rnacentral:lncRNA from 1 species
GAAUAUUGAUGCUAGAACUGAAAAACGCCACCAACAAUUGAAAGAAGAAGUGAGGAAGAUGAUUGUGGCACCAAUGGCUAAUUCAACCCAAAAGUUAGCCUUCAUUGAUUCAGUCCAAAGACUGGGUGUGAGUUACCAUUUCACCAAGGAGAUCGAAGAUGAACUAGAGAAUAUCUACCAUAACAACAAUGAUGCCGAGAACGACCUCUACACCACAUCUCUUCGAUUCCGACUACUCCGAGAGCAUGGAUACAAUGUUUCAUGCGGUAAUUAUUGGAACAACAACAUAGUGUUUUUAAGUGUCUAGAGAAUAUAAUAGCAUGGAAUGUUUGAUAACGAUAUUUCAUUUUGGGUAAUUUCAUCUCAGACGUAUUCAACAAGUUUAAAGACGAGCAAGGGAAUUUCAAGUCAUCCGUGACAAGCGAUGUUCGAGGAUUGUUGGAACUUUACCAAGCUUCCUAUUUGAGGGUUCAUGGGGAAGAUAUAUUGGAUGAAGCAAUUUCUUUCACCACCAACCAUUUAAGCCUUCCAGUAGCAUCUUUGGACCAUCCUUUGUCCGAAGAGGUUUCUCAUGCUUUGAAACAAUCAAUUCGAAGAGGCUUGCCAAGGGUUGAGGCAAGGCACUAUCUUUCAGUAUACCAAGAUAUUGAGUCCCAUAAUAAGGCUUUGUUGGAGUUUGCUAAGAUCGAUUUCAACAUGUUACAAUUUUUGCAUAGGAAAGAACUAAGUGAGAUUUGUAGGUAUGUUUUGUUAAUCUCUUUCACCCAUUUUUUUUUUCUUUUUCAUCUUUUUUUAAUUUUUUGGUGGAAGGGGGGUUGAAUUUAUAGGAGGCAUCAUUCUCAGUAUAGGAUACGAGUUGCAAAUGCUAAUAUUUGAAUCUUAUUAAAUAGCACAAGUUAAAAGUGAUGGCAUGAACCUUAGAUUCAUCUUUUUCACCAUUUUCAUUUUAACCUUAGAUUCAUCUUUUUCACCUAUUUCAUUUUACUUAUAUAAUUUUUAAAAUUUGAGGUUCCCAAUUGACUUAAGAGUUUAACAAUUUACUCAUUGACAACAUGAAUGUGGAACUAAUUAAAACUUUGUAUGGUCAUUGCGUUAAUGGGGUUUUUUAUAAUAUGAUUUUUUAGGUGGUGGAAGGAUUUAGACUUUCAAAGAAAGUUGCCAUAUGCAAGAGAUAGAGUGGUUGAAGGUUAUUUUUGGAUCUCGGGAGUGUACUUUGAGCCCCAAUAUUCACUUGGUAGAAAGAUGUUGACAAAAGUGAUAGCAAUGACAUCUAUUGUAGAUGAUACAUAUGACUCAUAUGCAACAUAUGAAGAGCUCAUUCCCUAUACAAAUGCAAUUGAGAGGUUAGAUUUCUUUAAUUUUGCUAGUAAUAGGUUAGGUUUUUUUUGUUCAAGUGAACAUUCAAGUAUAUAUUACGAGGAAUGAUCAAAUAUAACGUUGAGGUUUGAUUCAGGUGGGAUAUCAAAUGCAUAGAUGAACUUCCUGAAUACAUGAAACCAAGCUACAAGGCACUAUUAGAUGUUUAUGAAGAAAUGAUACAAUUGGUGGCUGAGAAUGGGAGACAAUAUCGUGUUGAGUAUGCGAAGAAUGCGGUAUGUACAUUUGCAAACAUUUAUUUUAUACAAAAGAGAUAAGAUCUUAGCUAAAUUCUAGAUUUGAAUAAACAACUAACUUGAAUAACAAUAUAUAAUCAUUUAAAUAUUAUUAUUGAAUUUUAAUUGAUAUUAGUGAUAAUUGUUGGGACUUUGUUGUCUUAGAUGAUACGACUUGCUCAAUCUUACCUUGUGGAGUUCAAAUGGACUCUUCAAAACUACAAACCAUCAUUCGAGGAGUUUAAGGCUAAUGCAUUGCCAACUUGUGGUUAUGAAAUGCUUGCUAUUACAUCUUUCGUCGGCAUGGGAGAUAUUGUAACGCCAGAGACCUUUAAAUGGGCAACUAAUAACCCUAAGAUCAUUCAAGCUUCCACAAUUAUUUGUAGGUUUAUGGAUGAUGUUGCUGAACACAAGGUAUAAUAAUAUAUUUAUAUGAUCACAAGAAACCGAACUCUUAGCUCAAUAAUUGAAUGUCUUUGUAGCAAAAUUAAAUGAUGGUUUUUAUCAUGAUCUGAAACAAUUAAAGUUUAAUGUUGACAUAUCAAAUGUUUAGUCUUAAAUCGAAAAAUAAGAAAAUAAAUCUAGUUUCAUUUUAAACAAAACUAUAUUAAAUAUAGUUUAAUAAUAUGAUAGGUUUUAGGGUAUAUAGUGAUAGAAUAAUUUUGAUUUUAUUAUGGUUGCAGUUCAAGCAUAGAAGAGAAGACGAUUGCUCAGCAAUUGAGUGUUACAUGGAAGAAUAUGGCGUAACAGCAGAAGAGGCAUAUGAUGUAUUCAACAAGCAUGUUGAGAGUGCGUGGAAGGAUGUAAAUCAAGAGUUUUUGAAACCAACAGAAAUGCCAACAGAAGUUUUGAAUCGUAGUCUAAACCUUGCAAGGGUGAUGGAUGUGCUUUACAGUGAAGGAGAUGGCUAUACAUAUGUUGGAAAAGCAGCUAAGGGUGGGAUUACUUCAUUGCUGAUUGAACCAAUCGCAGUUUGAAAUUAUAUUAAAAUUUCCUCUUCAAGCUUUUUCCUUAAGGAAUAAAUAUUAAAUUUUAAGUAAUAAUGUUUUAUAAUAUUCAUACAUAUCAUAUAAAGAAAAAGUCCAAAUUGAUUAGAUUUGUACUCAAUACCUUAUAUUAAUCCAAUGAAGUUUUUUCUACCUUUUUACCAUCAAAGUCCUGCUCUUUUUUCAAGAAAAGCUUUCUUCUGUUUCAUAUUUUCUUUUCUUUUAAUUGUUUAUUUAUUUAAUGGCAUUCAUGAAUAUAUAUAUAUAGUAUGAGAAUAGGAAGAAUAACAAAUAUCAUAAAUGGGAUCAAAGUAGGAAAAAGAAUCCAGUAAAAUUACCACUUAAGAGAUAGGUUUUCCUUUAUUCAAAUUUACAAUUUACUAAUAUCAAAUAUGAAAUGCCCACAUUAAUUAACACUCAUCUAAUUUGUAGGUAAUUGUAAAUAAUAAAUAGUCUAUUUCAAUGUAGUAGUUGUUUGAAUGAUAUGAUUGGAGAAGAAUGUGAAAUCAAAUACUCAAUUGAAAAAAUCGUUUCAUUUAAUUCCCCACUCAUAAAUUAAUUAACAUAAUGAAGAAAGUAAUAAAUUUCUCGUUCAAACAUUAUAUCCCCGACAUUGACAAAACAAUAAAAAGUAACCAUAAAAAAUAAAAUGAAAAAAAAAGAUAAUAUUUGUGAAAAAUAUUAACCCCCAAAAGGAAAUAACUAUAUAGCAAUAGAAAAUAUAAUCUACUCUAAUUUGUCGCUAUAACUUUGGAGUGUGAUCUUGUCGUGCUCUUCCUCUUUGUUGGCCUAUCUACCACCGUUGUUUCCACUUUCAGCGAUGUUUUCUUCUUUAACAUAACUUUAUCUUUCGAGAUUGCAUACAAUAAAGGUUCACCUUUCAAAUAGACUUUCAGGCCUUGCCUCAACGAGCUCACCUAGCCAAGCAUACCUUUGUCUAUUCAAGCCUUUCCAUUACUAGCCCACCCUUUAGAAUUGACUCUUAAGCUCACCUUUUUAAUCUUGUUAAGAUCAUGAAAAAGUUACACCAACAAAAUACCUACCCGUCCAUCAUCUCCUUUUUAGGCAUGCCAAAGACAACACAUCACAUCAUCAUCGAAAGGAGAGCACCUCGCCAAAAAAAGUUCUCGGGAAAAGCCACUUUAUAACCUCUUCCUCGACUUUCAAAGGAAAAUUAUUAUACUUAAACACCUCGCUAGGUCAACCAAUUUUAUCUAGAAGGGCUCGCCCAUGAAAGGGCUUGCCAAAUUCAAGCUUUCAAUUAUCUCCUUACAUGUGCCACUGUCAAAUCAAGUCCCAGUGCUGAGUCUCAUUAGGGCCUACUCAGAGGUCCUUUCUACCACAUCCUAGUAGGACCCUCCAUAACUUUAGUACAAACUCCAUACACUACCACAUGUCAUUGCCUGACAGGGCUUUUUUGGCCUUACGACUGAGCCUGAGGUAGACCACCAUCACAAUAAGCUGUACACAAACCUCUAUAUGAAGUUACCUCUUUCUCUAAGAAGAGGUAUAUUCAUUUUCCAUAAUAACCUUGUCUAAGUUCAUUCAUAACUCUAGAUAUCUCCAAACCUAUUUACUUCCUCUAGUGGUUCUUAGCAUGUUGGUGUGAAUUACACUCACUGUAAACCCAAUCUCCUUUAAUGGUUCUCAGUACUUUAGUAUUAACAUCCCUAGGUACUUCCAUUUUUGAGUCAUAUAAGACAUUGUCUUCUUCUUCAUUGGAGCUAUCGUUAUUUCCACCACCUCUUUCAUCAAAGAUACUUCAGAAGUUUAAAUGCAAAAAAAAAAAAAAAUUGUCUAGCUAUACUUUUUGUGCCAUAGUCCAACUAUGGUCUUACACAUACAUUGUCAUGGCCCUACCAUGGUCUUACAUUUGUAGUGCCAUAACCCAGUUAUGGUCUUAUUAUCAGAAUGUCAUAGCCCAGCUAUGGUCUUACACAUGUAUCUAUAUUGCCAUGGUCCAACCAUGGUCUUACGUUCAAGGUGCCAUAACCCAGUUAUGGUCUCAUUAGAAAGCUAUAGCCCAGCUAUGGUCUUACAUAUAAACACUGCCAUGGUCCAACCAUGGUCUUACGUUCAUAGUGUCAUAACCUAGUUACGGUCUUAUCCCUCAAUUCAUCCUUUGCCACAGAACGAUUGUACUCAAUCCCGCAUUCAAUCCAAACUGAGUAUUAAAUUCAAUAAUAUAUUUCUAAUAAUAAUUCAAUUCCAACAAUUGAACACACAUAUAUAUAAUAUCCAUCACCAAAUAUCAUUCACUUUAAUCAAAAUUAUACAGAAUAUAGUUCAUACGAACUUACUAGCCUAAAUUGCAUAAAUACCAAUAUACAGAGGCAUUUUAGUAAUUUUCCAUUUUCCUCGAUUUUCCACUCAAUCUUGAUCUAAAUUAAUAUUUUAUUCAAUUUAUUAAUUUAAAUAAUAAAACAAUUUAUUUCAUACAAUUUGGUCAUUUUUGACAUUUUUACAAAAUUACCCUUAAAAUUUUACUUUUAUUCAAUUUAGUCUCUGAAUCUAAAACAUGCAAAUUAGUCAUUUUUAAUGAAAACUCAUGCUAGUUGAAUAUUCAUAUAUUUUCCUCCUCCUCCUCUCCAUUCCACAUCCUUAAUGUAUAUAUUAUGCUUAUAUGUAAUAUUAUCUAUAAUUCUACUAUUUACUUAUGUUCAUAUCAAAGCUGUCCACUUGAAUCACGGUCAAUAAUUUAUUUAUAUCUCGAGCUAUAGAAUUCUAAAUUAAGAUUCGCUUGAUGUUUUUGAAACUAGACUCAAAUAUCUUUCCACCAUAAAAUUUUUAGAAUUUACAGUUUAGCCUAUAAGUACAGUAAAUGCUUCAAAUUUAUCCCUAUUCUGCUGUUUGAUAGCUUUGACCUUUGCUUGCUAAAAAUUAAUUAUCUCUUAGUAUGGUGUCUGAAUGAUGUUUCUGUUUGUUUCUCUUGAAAAUAGACUCAUCAAGAAUUUUAAAAAAUAAAUUUAAACCCCUAAUUAUUUUUUAAAAAAUUUUGAUGAUUUUCCAAAGUCAGAAUAGGGGAACCCGAAAUCAAUCUGACCCUGUCUCACAAAAAUUCAUAUAUCUCUUAAUAUGAAAUUCUUUUGCUUACAUCGUUUCUUCCAUGUAAAACAAGACUUAAUAGGAUUUAUUUUAAUACUUUAAUUAACCUCUAAUUCAAUUUCUACGUUUUUUGGUGAAUUUUCAAAGUCAGACUACUACUACUGUCCAAAACUGUUUUAGUGUAAACUGUUGAUAACCAAAUUUAUAACACCCUCAUUUCCUUUCUCUACAAUAUUUCCCAUCACUUCCUCUUAUUUCCCUUUACUAGAAUAUCAAGAACAUAGAAUCUUAUAUAAUAAAACUCUACUUUACCAUCAAUUUCAUACUUUUUCAAUAAUAUCAAACUAAAAAAUAUAUUGAAAUCUUGAGGUUCUUACCUUGUCCUAUUGAUUUCAAUCUUUAACUUAAUUUUCUCUCUCCUCCAGCUUCUAUUUCUUGAAUCUAACUUGAUACUCUAGCUCCCCAUUGUCUCCUUAUUAUUUUUCUCUCUUGGUAGCUAUGGAAAUUCUUUUGAUUUCUAAGUGAAAAUGGUGAAUUUUUGGUAAAAUGACCAAAUUAUAAAGAAAAUAAAUUUUCUUUCUUUCAUUUUUUUUUCUUCUCACGUUGGAGGCAUGAAAGAUGAUAAAUUCUCUUCAUCUUUCCUCCCUUUUAUAUUAAUCAUUUAAUAAUAAAAUAAUACUAAGAAUCUAAAUAAAAUAUUAAUUAAACAACAUUUAUCUAAUUAAUUAAUUAAAAAUAUCACCAACAUCAUCAUUACCUUUUAGAGUUCUCUCUCUUUCUAAUUGACCAUUUUGCCCUUCAUGAUCUUUUAAAAUUCCAUCAUUGAGUCAUCACUUAAUUUGGUAAAAUUAUGAUUUAGUCCAUCAUAAUUCUUCACCUAUUCAAUUUGGUCCUAAUUCAUCCAUUUUCCUUAUUUUCUAGAUCAUUCCACCCUUAAAAUAUUUUCACUAUUGGUCCUUGAACUUUUUCAUAUUUACACUUUAACCCCUCAAUUUUUGAGUAUUUACUCUUGGGCAACAAAACUUUUCUCACUUUUGCGAUUUAAUCUUUUCUUGCAUUAAUAUGUCAUAAUAUACUUCCCAAUGUUGACAUAACUCAAAAUUUCCCUUUUUGUCACUUUAUUUCCUUAUUUUACUAUAUCAAGGAUACUAUAUUACUUUAUUCCUGUAGUAAUUUUUGGGGUAUUACAAGGACGGACCAACUAGGAAAUUAUUCCCAGGCCCGCAAACACACCGUUCCAUGAGCGACUGAAAAGAAACAAAAUCACUGGGCAAAAAUUAAAAAAAAAGAAAUAGGACUAGAUUGAAAAACAAUUAAAAAGCAGAAGGACUGAAGUAAAAAUUAGACCCUUUCUUAAGAAAACAUGCGGAUCUUGUUUGUAUUUAGGUCAUAUUUCAAAAUGACGUCGUUUUGGGGCUAUUGAAGCUAGCUUUAAACGACGUCGUUUAGCCUCGCCUAUAUAAGCCAAAUUUUUUUUAAAAAAAAUCAUUAUGUUUAGUUUUUCUUAAAAAAACUGAGUCUUUUUUUCUCUCUCGGUUUUCCACGUCUGCCCCUGGCGCCGGCGAUGAUUUCACCGUUCCCGGUGGCUAGAAUCUACGAGCAACCAUUUUUUGGCCGUUACGGCUUCUUGAGCCCGAAUCCGGGGUCAGUACUUUCCAAAACCCAACAAAAAAAUAAAAAAAAAUCUAAACAGCCCCUUGGUUUUCUACGCCGUGGUCCUUAGACAAAACAGAAGUGACUUGGAGGUCUCAUCGAAGGGAGCCGUCCGUCAUCACGGACGGAGUCCUCGUCUACUCGCGGCGGUGGAACAUGAAACGACUCAGUAAGUUUUUUUGAUUUUAUGUUUUAUGUUUUUUUUUCUAAAAAUAACAGAUAAAAAAAAUGAAGAAAAUCACCUUUAAAAAUGUUUUCUUUGUAUUCUGUUUUUUUAUUCCUUUUUUUCUCGUAAAGAAAUACAUAAAAGUCAUGGCUUUUAUAGUCGAAUUACACUCUCUUUUUUACUGUUUUUCUACUGUUUCUACUGUUUUUUCUUGGGUGUUGUGCUUCUGUCCUUGUUCUGCCUUUUUUGCAAGUGUCCCUAGUCGACGGCGACAACUGGCAGAUGAGGUGUCAAACCUCAGGCAACAAAACCGCUGGUAAAGCAGAGGCGGCGGCGCGCUGGCUAAGGAUUCUGUCCUUCUGAAAAUGUUUGUUUUUUGGGCCACUGGGCUCGCUUUUUACAUUUGGGCUUGUAAUAUUUUUAUUUGGAUUUGUAAUUUUGUAUUUAUUUGUAAAUUAGGCUUGAGCGAAAUUGGGUCAUUAUAUUGUACAUGUAAAAUGUUUUGUGGGUUAACUGGUCGAGUCAAGUACAGACGGCUACCAAAAGAAGAUGUGUUAAAUCAAAGGAAAAUAAUCAAGCGAAUUUAUAAUUUUAACGAAGAUAUUGUUGGUUGAAAUUUUUAAGUAUUUUGUAUUUAUAUUUAAAUUUUAUUAUAUGUAAUUAUCAUAUUUAGAUCUUUAGUUUUAUAAUGCGUCGUUGUUAAGUGUAUAUUUUUGUCCAAUGAAUCAAUUUUAGUUUUAAUUAUUUUAAUUUUUAAUGUAUUUUAUAUUAAUUUAAUUCUAUUUUAUAAUUAUCCCAAAUGCAUUUAUAAAUAUACUAUAAUCACAAUAGAAUUUAUAAUUUCAUAUCGUUUUUUUUAAUAUUAGUUUUAUAUCCUAACACAUCAUGAAUUUAUCAUUAAAUUUGUAUUAUACUUAUUUUAUUAUUGAAACUUUGAAUAUGAUUGUUUUAUAGUUGUGAUUUCCUUUUUUAACAUGUCAGGUUUAGAGAAUAUAUAUAUAUAUAUAUAUAUAUAUAUAUAUAUAUAUAUAUAUAUAGAAUAUUUAAAUUUAUAUAACCUGUCAGUGCAGAAAGAUGUGGGUUUGAGUGUGUUAAAACAUAUUGUUCUCUUAUUUAAGGGCUAGAAAAGGAUUAUAGGUAAAUCUAGGUAUUAUAUAAAAAAAUAGUUGAUUUGGAAUUAAUAAAAAUGUAAACUUAACUAUUCAUAAGUUUAUUAUCAAUUAAUAAAAAUUAAUUCUAAUAAUUUUUUUUUUCAUAUUUUUAGUAAAUUCAUUUUAAAAAUCUAGAGACUGUAAAGUCAAUCAGUAGAGCACAUGCUUGUUGGAGAUACUUUAAUUCUGGGAUAUCAAUGCCAUUAGUAAAACUACGCAUGCAGAAUAAAAUAUUAAAAAGAAAUAAGAUAUUAAUUUUAUUGAUAACUUUGAAUUAUAAAUAUAGACGCCAUUGCUGAAAUUUGCUUACUCUGAAUAUUUUUCUUCUCAAUUCUAAUGUAUCAGAAAAUUUUAAAUGAUGGGUUUUGAAUAUAAAUUUCUAGUAUUCACUGAAUCAUACAACUAUGGAGUACUUACAAUUCAAAUUGAAAAUAUUGUGAAAAAUAACUUAUUCAAAUAGUCAAGCCUUCUUAUUGUUAAGUUUUUUACUAUUAUAAUGGUACUACAUUUACAAAUAUAAAGACAUGUUUAAGUUUUAUCUUUUACAUAAAUGAUAUGAUUCCAUUCAUGGAAUGAAUGGUGACGACUUAAAAUACUAGAGGUCCAAAUUGAUUCGUGAAAUUAUUUAUUAUUCUAAAAUACUCUCUAAACAAAAACAGAUCAAGAGCCAAUUAAAAGUCACUCACUUUCUUAGAGAAACUGUUGAUGGUCAGGGUAAUUUCAGCGACGAUAGGCAUCAUCAUCUGUCCAUCACAACAUGUGAAGAUAACAAAGAUACCUACAAAAUAGAUGUAUCAAUUGAAAAGAGAGAAAACCUAUGGAAUAGAUGAGGAGAAAAAAGAAAGUGAGUUGGUGGGAGGGAGCAAAAGGUGGGCAGUAGCCAGCCCGGAGAUUGCCACCGUUGCUACGCAAAACAAAAAAGAAGAAACAAACGGCUUGGAGAAAAAAGAAAAAAGACCUAAAGGACUAAAUUGCUCACUUUUAUACUUAAGGAGUUAAUUUGUUCUUUAGUUUAUAAUACAAGGAUCCACAUUAUAAAUUUUCCAUUACAAAUAGACGCCUUUGAUGAAAUUUGCUUAUUUUUCCUUUGAAUCUUUUGUGUUAAUUCCAAUGUAAAAAAUGGAAUAUUCUAAACGAUGGGUUUAAAAUAUAAAUUUCUAGUAUUGACUGAAUUGCAACUAUAGUGUUUACUAUUCAAAUUGGAAAAACAUGUUAAAUUAAUUGUGAAAGAAAAUUCAUUACUCAAAGAGUCAAGCGGUCUUGUUUGAAUGGUUUAUUUUUAUUAGAUAUUUUUCGUUGUUUUCACAAUUUUGUGUGGAAUUUCGUAGUUAUAUAUAUUGAGAAUUUGGUCACUGAAUUGUCUACUUCGUCUUUUACGAUGAUUCAAAUGACUCUUCAAUGCUCUCAGUGUAUCAAAUAUAUCAUAUAAUUUUAUGUAUUAUUUCUCAAGUCAAUUAUUUUACUGCUAUUUUAUGGAUGGCUGAAAAUAUGAUCAAUGUGCCUUUUUUUUUCCUCUAUGAAUGAUGACAUUAUGUUAGUCAACAGUUUACUAUCUUUAUAUAAUAUAUAUUAACAAUUUUUUAGUAAAUUAUAAGAGGAUGACAAAACGUUAAUAGUAACGCGACUCGGGGGCGAUGAAUACCCUGAUCAACAAGCCAACACACAGAUUUAUAUAUUAACAAUUUUUUAGUAGUUAAUUUUUCUUAAUAUAGGUAAACCUCACAAUUUUGAUUUCAAACUCAAAAUUUGACUUGAAAAAUUUUACUUGAUCAAUUUAAAAUAAAGCUUAUUUUAUUUUUAUUUAAUUAUAAAAAAUUAAAAAUUUAAACUUAAAUUGCUUCAAAUUCAAAAUAUAGGGGCUGGCUCUGCACCCUAAAAUGGUAAGUUUCUGUUUUAGUGUUUUAAAUUUUAUAAACUAUGAAAAUUACUACAUGGGCUUUCAAAAAUAAUAAAAUUUUGAUUUAAUCUUUAAUUAAUUAUAAAGACGUAAGCUAUUAAAAUGAUGAAAUUACAUUUUACCUCUCGUAAAAACUUUACAACUUACAAGAGAGUAAAUAGAUCCGAAAACCUCAAGCAACACAAAAUUAUUUGAAUCCAAAGCUCAUUUAUAUCUAAAAAUUAUGUAAACAAAAUUGUUUAUGUUUAUACAUUUUUUUAAUAAUUUCAUUACAGGUUCUGAUCAUAUAUGCUCUUUUUGACAUAAUGCCUAGAAUUACCCGUAAUCUCUCCUCAACCCAUAAAUAGGAAGAUAAUGCGCUUAAGCACACUCAAAACUAGAUCCUCUUACAUUAACAAUAAUACACAUACCAAUCAAGAUUAUAUAUUUUUUAUUAAGCUAAAAAUGAUUAAUUAAUUGUAUAUAUUUUUUAAUGUGACCCAACACCAUAUGAAUGAAACAAAUGAAUGCAUCAGCUCACUUGACUGAUGAAAGACGUAAGAAAUAUUAAAAUCUAUAUAAUAAAACAAUUAAAAAAAAGAUUGCAGAUAGCUUGCACAUCAAGCCUACUAUGUUUGAUUUUUAAUUUAAAUUUCUUAUCAUUCAUUUUAAACGUUUAAUUAUGAUAUUUAAUUUCGUUGUCUUGUAGUAAUUUUUCUCCCAGGGUAUAUUCAAUUAAUGUUUGCCAAUGUAUAUCUCAAGAUCAUGACAAUGGUUUGACAUAAAAUUAUAUAGAUGCAUGCAAAUUUCCCCUUGUUUUCUAUUAAUCAUUUAGUUUUGGCAUAAUAAUUUUUUCGCCCUCCAACUUCACAAAACAAGUCAUUUUAGCCCUCCAUUAAAAUUUUCGCUUCUUUUAACACUUGAAUUUGUAUUUUUUGUCAAGUCACUCCAAAGUAGAUGGAAAAAUAAAUUUUUAUUAACUUUCAUGACGUGUUAUAUAUGUGGAUUGCUGAGCAGAUGACAUAUUAGCAUUUAAUUCAUCUCUAAACUAUUAAAAAUAUUGUUAUUGUAUUUUUUAAUAAUUUAAUAAUUUUUAAUUUUUAAAUAUAAUUUUAUAAUAUUUUGAAUUUUUUAAAUUUUAAAAAAUUAAUUAAAUAUUGGCAUGUCAUCCCUAUAGCAGUCCACAUGUAUACAACAUCAACAAAGUUAAAAAUGUUAACUUUUUCAUUCAUUUUGGGGUGAUUUGACAAAAAUACGGAUUUAAGGACUUAAAAAACUAAAAAAUUAAAUGAAAAACUAAAAUGAUUUUUUUAUAAAAUUAAAAUAUAUAAAAAAAAACAUUAUGCCUUUUACUAGAAUGAGCACCCCCUUUCACUGGGGCUGCUGUAAAUCUUAUUAUAAUUUAGUCAAUUGAUAGUUAAAAACAAUUUAAAGAUGAAAUAAUUAUUUUUGUUAAAAAUUUUAUUUCUAAAUUUAAUAAUAUGACUAUUGAUAUUUAUAUUUUUAAUCAUAAAAAUUAAAUUUAACAUAAUUUUUUAAGAUUUAGUGCUGAUUUUAGACUGACAUAUAAGUUAAUCUAUGGAUCAAUUAUUUUGGAUACAUCAUUUAAUGCGAUAAUAAAAAAAUUCAUGCAAAUUCAAAUUUAAAUAAAUCAACUCAAAAAAUUUGAAUAGUUUACUAUCUCUAUACAAUAUAUAUCAGCAAUUUUUUUGGGUGAAUUAUAAGAUGAGGGCAAAGUCUUAAAUAGGAAUGCAGCUUGAACUCAGGUCACACUUGAGGCGAUGAAUACCCUAACCAUCAGACUAAUACAUAAAUUCAUAUAUUAACAAUGUUUUAGUUGCUAAUUUUUCUUAAUAUCGGUAAACCUUGCAAUUUUGAUUUCUAACUCAAAAUUUGACUUGAUAAAUUUAACUUGAUGAAUUUAAAAUAAAGCUUAUUUUAUUUUUAUUUAAUCAUAUAAAAUUCAAACUUAAAUUGAUUUAAAUUCGAAAGAUAGGGGUUGGUUCUGCACUCUAAAAUGGUAAGUUUAUGUUUUAGCAUUUUAAAUUUUAUAAACUUUAUAAAUUAGUAUAUGGUAAAAAUUAUACUUUGACUUUCAAAAAUAAUAAAAUUUUGAGUUAAUCCUUAAAUAAUUAUAAAGAUGUAAGCUAUUAAAAUGGUGAAAUGGCAUUUUACCUCAAGCAACAGAAAAUUAUUUUAAUCUAAAGCUCAUUUAAAUCUAAAAAUGAUGUAAACAAAUUUGUUUUAUGUUUAUACAUUUUCUUAAUAAUCUCAUUAUAAGUUCUGAUGAUAUCUGCUUUUUUUAACACAAUGCCUAGAACUACCCAUAGCCCCUCCUCAACCCAUAACCCCUCCCCAACCCAUAAAUAGGAGGAUAAAGCAUUUAAGUGCACUCGAAACUAGAUCCUCUUACAUUGACAAUAAUACCUAUACCAAUCAAGCUAAAAUUCAAUCCACUUUGUAACGUCUUGAAUAAUUUAAGUUUGUUUUUUGUGAAAUCUGACAUUAAGGUGUAUUUGUUUUAGUGGUUAAGUGUCCUGAGUGUGUGUGUAUCAGGUCUAGGGUUCAAUUCCUACAUUUGAAAAUUUUUUGUUAUUUUUGAUCCAAGCCUUAUCCCUAUUGGGUGGGUUUAUAUAAAUUGUCUGUUAAUCUAUAUCAAAAUGAGCAUAUUAUUUCGAGUGGUAAUGAGUUAACUUGUUGGAGGUCUUACGUUUGAAUCCCCACGUGAGCGAGGGUAAUAAUUUUUGCUUCGAUUGACUGAGUUUGGAUGGAAUCGAAAUUCUGUUUAAAUGGGUAGUUAUCAGUUGGUUAGGAGUGGAUAUAGUGGGAUUUUUAUUUUGAGAUUAAUUUAUUUUUAUUUUUAUCUUAUUUUAUUUUUUUCCCAAAAUCUUUUUUUGUUUUGAGGUUCUGUUUUCUUUUUCUUUUCAACUUCUGUCAAUUUUUGCUCUCCUUUCCUCUUUUGUUUUGGUAAUCAAAUUUAUUGGUGCAAUUCAUUGUAUUUCAGUCUAAGUACCCAAUUUCGGUUUGAUAAGUGUGGUUUUUAUUUUUGGCUAGUGAAUUUUUGGUUGAUGGGGUCUCAUUAUUGUUGUUUAUGAGAAGAUCAAGGGGCUUGGGGCUUUCUAUCAGUGUUAUAACUAUAGGAAAUCAUCAUUGUUCAUUUGACAGUUAGGGUUUUGGUUGAACAAGAGAUUGUUAAUUCGAUAUAGUUUCAGUUUAGCAUUGUUUUAGGUGGCUAAAUUCGACUUUUUAAUGAUCAAUUUUAGGUUCUGGUGGUCUCAAGAGUGAUUUCGCAUCAAAAUUGAACGAGGUGUGUACUCCUAACACGAAAAAAUUGAGUUUCGACGAAAGCUAAAAAUGGAGUCUGUCGACGCUACACAGGUGUGUGGCCGAUCGUAUGGAUGGCCGUGUGUGAGACACGACCGUGUAACUAAUGAAUGAGUGGUCAUGCACAAGACACGGUCGUGUGAUGGUGUGAGUGUGGCCAUAUGGGCCACACGGGCUAGGCCAAGUUAGGCAUGUGGGUGUGUGGGUUUUGGGCUAAACCAGUGGACCACACGGAUAAGGCCAAUCUGGGCGUGUGGGGCCACAUAGGCAUGUGGGCCCAGAAUUCUAAAACUUUCCCUAAGGUCGCACGGGUCAUUUCGAUCGACUGUGGGCCUACCGUAGGGUCGGUAAAGGCUAACCAAACCUUAUUUCAUGUGAUUUGAUAUUCUGAUAGACCGAUCUGAGUAGGAUACUAAUAUGCAUGUUUGACUGUACUGUUUAAGUAUGUAUCUAUCUGUAUACGAGCAUGUUAAGCAUGUUUAAUAUGAUAUUUUUGCAUUUGUACUCUGUAUCUAUGAAUAGAGUGGGAAUUGUAUAUGUGGAGGAAGUGAUCUGUGUAGCGACUCUUCACCUAUAUUUUGGCAACUUGACUGCAUAUUAUCUGUUAUGUGUCGCAUCGACAUUGUAUAAUGUGUAGGGAUGGGUGAGUGUUUUUAACGUUACGUGGUGUGAUGGUAUGGUUGGAGACGGUGUGUAGAGGAUGGGGGUAGGAUUCUGCAUAUCUUUUCUAUUUAUCUGAUUAUGAUAUUUGUAUCUGUUAUGGACUUAAGUUCGAAUAUGUAUCUGACUGUAUAUGAAGCAUUGUGCGUGUUGCAUGGCUAUUUCUAUUGGGUUACACACUGAGUUUAUGAAAAUACACAAUUGUUUGUCUAUUCUGUUCAGGAAAUCCAUAAACUUAGGCGGGUCGGUGCGAUACAGGCUUUGCGGUAACCACUCGACCAAGAACUAUUUUUAUUUAGUAAUUAGUGGUUUAAUUUUAAAGUCUGGUUUUUCUUGAUAGUUUGUAAUUUUUGGGACUCUCCGGACAGUUUGGUUUUAACUUUUGGAUUUGGAUUUUGUUUUGCUAUUUUUUCGCAACGUCAACAAAAACACUUUAUGCAACAAAUGGGUUUUUGAAAACACGAGCUUGGUUUUUGUUUUAAACGAUUUCCAAACUUUAGCUGCGAAAUAAAUGUUAAUUUUAAGGAACAACUUAUAACGAUUUCAGUAAUGAAUAUGUUUUAUAAUACUUGACGUUUUAUCAAAUAGCUAAACAUGGUUUAUCGAAGAAUCGUCGAUUUCAAAACCCUUAUUCGUAACACUCUCGAAUUCAGCCAUAACAUCUAGGCCAUGUUUGGGGUGUUACAUUUAGUGGUAUCAGAGUCAAGUUGCAAAACUCGAGAUGUGAAUUUUGGGUUCCGAAUUUGUGUUUUGAAAAAGGACUAGUUUUCAAACGAUUUGAAUAAUUUUCAAUAAGUAUGUGGUACAUCAAGUCUCCGGCACCGAUCCUGUAAGUAUUUCUGAACUUAGAUAGAACAUUCUUAAAAUACUAUAGUUAGUACUUUCUAAAACUGUACUGAGUUAGUUAGAGCUUAAAACCUCUGAAAUCCUUUGGAACUUCUGAUAACUUGAGCAUAAAAUAUCUGUUAAUAAACACUGGAACUGAUGCAUAAAAUUUUAUAAUGUAAAUAAAACUGAAAAUACGAUGAGAACUCGUGGAACUCACGGUCGUAAUAUUCGUGGGCGCGGCGGGCGCCGUAGGGGGCUUAAGCUGAGUUUUCCUCUUUAAGCAGUAUGCCGAAUUUAAAUAUGAGUGAGACACCAGUUUCACUUGUUACUGAGACUAGGUCUCAAAGCCGCACAGUUGGGGACGACACACUAUCCCAAGCCAUGUUAAGGGUGUUGGAAAGGGUUGUUGGACCUUAUUUUAGAUUUAGGGGCCAUUGGUCGGUAACUGAAUGACUCCAGUUCAGUGGAGCUGAAUUGUUUAGGGGUGUCACUGGAGUCGCCCCUACUGUGACUAAGUAUUGGUUGGUGGCCACUGAGAGGAUUAUGAAAGACAUCGACAACACUCCUAAGCAGAAAUUGAAGGGUGCAAUUUCUUUGCGUCAUAAUGAGGUGUAUCAGUGGUGGUUAUCGGUAGAGAAGGGUACUCAACCGGAUCGUCUGAACUGAAACUACUUUAAGACUGCCUUCUAGGAAAAAUAUGUGGGCGCGAGCUAUGUUGAUGCUCAUUGGCAUGAGUUCAUGAAUCUCACGCAAGGUAAUAAGGCUGUGGCCGAGUAUAAGGCCGAGUAUGAUGAAUGUGUCCAUUUUGAGGAUGGUUUGAGAGAUAGUUUAAGCGUCUAAUUGCUCUGUAGAGGGAGCGUGAGUUUGUUAUUUUGGUAGAUAAUGCGAAGAUCACUGAAGAGGUUAAGCGCGUGGAGCGCCAAAACAAAGACCAAGAGAAGGGAAAUAAUAAGAAGGAUUUGGAGCCCUCUAGUUCUGUUCAAAGGCCUAAGAAACGGGCCAGACCUGAUGUGCCUAUUAGAGUGGGAGUUCCUGUUGCUCCUACUUGGAUUCAGCCUUGUAGUGAUUGUGGUAGGCGCCAUCCGAGCGAGGGUUGGAGGAGAUUAGUGGCUUGUUUGCGGUGUAGGUCAUUAAAGCACCAAAUUAGAGAGUGUCCACAUCGUGUGGAUCAGAUGCAAGCUUUGGGACCGAGUUCUACUCAGCCUUAGUGAGUAAUACAGCAGCCACCUAGGGUCCGUGGGCUGGCUGGGGGUGGUAAUGGUAUGGGCCAAGGACAGAGCACCGGGAAAAGUGCUAAUCAGACUGAGGCGAGGCAACCUGCACUGGUUUAUACUGCUCGACACCGAGAGGACAGAGAUGCCCCUAAUGUGAUCAUGGGUACAUUCUUUAAUUUGAUGCUCCAUAUACUGCUUUGAUAGACGUAGGUUCUACACACUCCUAUGUAGCUAGUUUUGUUUUCGAGAACUUAGGGAUUUCUAUUGAGUGUACUUCUGGUGAGAUUACUGUACUAAGUAUGUUGGGGAAAUCUGUUCGGGUUAGUAGACUAUAUAGGAAUGUUCCAUUAGGGGUACAAGGGGUUGUGUUUCCGGCAAAUUUGAUGGAGCUACCGUUUGGGGAGUUCGACUUAAUUCUAGGUAUGAAUUGGUUAGUUGAGCACCGAGUUAGCUUGAAUUGCACGACUAAGAGGGUCGUUCUAAAGACCGAGGAUGAUAAGGAGGUUGUCGUAAUUGUCGAGCGUCGAGAUUACCUGUCUAAUGUAAUCUCCGCUCUAGUGGCUGAGAAAUUGGUUCAAAAAGGGUGUGAGGCGUAUUUGGCUUAUGUCAAUAUUUUAGUUUUUCUUGGGGCUUUUCUGUUGAGGAUAUGAGAACAGUGAGGAAAUUUUUGGAUUUUUUCCUGAAGAGUUGCUGGGUUUACCUUCGAAUCAGGAAGUUGAGUUCGGCAUUGAGCUUCUACCGGAUACAGCACCGGUGUCUAUUGCUCCAUUAUUUUGGAUCAAUUAUUUUGGAUACAUCAUUUAAUGCUAUAAUAAAAAUAAGAAAACUAAAUUGACUUGAGAGUGAUUUUAUGAAUCGACUUGUAUAAAUACAACAUUUAUAAAAAAUAUAAACAAUUGGGUUCGGAUUUUAAAAAGUUUUCAUGUAAACCUUUUUAAACAAAUUAUUUAAAUUUAAAUUUUAAAAAAAUUAUUUCAAUACUUUUGUUAACUCAUAAAUAAUAUGUAAAAUUAUAUAGAAAUUAAACUGUUCAUAAAAAUUUAAAUUUAAAUAAAUCGACACGAAAAUUCCAAACUUCAAACAUAAAUAAUCGAAAAUCUCAAGAUAUAAUGACUAUGAUUUGAAGUAAAAUUAGGUAGAUGCACCUAGUUUUCUCUUUGUUUCUCUAUUCGGUUUUCAUUAUUUAUUUUAAAACAAAUAUAUUGAUAAUUUGAAAUAAUUAAUAAUUACAAGCAAGUGAAGGUACCUUAGAAGCAAUUUUUUCAUUUACAUAUAACUGGGAAAACUUUGAAUUAAAUUAAAUAACUAUAUCAACUAUGAUCUGAAAAACUUUAAAAAAGAAUUUACACAUUUAAAUGAGACGAUAUUCGAAUUAGAAAUCUCAAAAUUUUUAAGAAUUCAAUGAAGACUAUUGAUUAUUACUAAAUUAUAGUACAUCCACUUUGUGGAUGAAAAAAAAUUUAUUAAAAAAUAUAUUUACCAAAUAAAACUUUGAUUAAAAUGAUAAUAUUGAAUGUUUAAAAUCAUAAUAUAUUAGAUUCAAUUCGUCGUCACAUAUGAAAUUUAUUGAUUCUGUACUGCUAGAUGAAUUUUGAACAACAAAUGGAGUGCUACCAAUUUUGCAAAUUAGAAAUCAAUUAAAAUUCAUAAAAACAAUUUUUGGUUUGGGAAAUUAAAAGUUUAUUAGAAAGUAGUAUUAUGCAUGAAAAAGAUAUACCUUUUAUUCAUGUUUAUUUGAAGUGAGAUUUCACCGUAUGCAAACAAGAGAGUUACAAUACAAGGUAUAUACUAUACCAGCAGAUCCUCUCGCUCUAUUCUCUUCUUCUUCUUCUGCUUCUUCCACCUCCUCUCUUGUAAGCUUCUUUUCUUAAAAUGCUUCACUGUUCUCUUCGCUGCUCUCUUUUUUCUUCUCUUCCUUUGGAAAACGAGGCCACCCUUAAAUGUUAAUAACAUUGUCAAAUAACAUAAAAGCCAACAUUAAAAAUUUAUAGUCAAAACCCAAGUUAAGGUCAAAAAUUAAAAUCGAGCUAUGAAAGUGUAGCAAGAUUCAACUUGGAUUUUUCAAAAUUAAACUUAACACUAGAAACCUGAUUACCUGCGAUAGUGAGUUUAAAAUUGAGCUUAGCCUGAAUAAAAAUAAGUUAUAAUAGUAUAAAUAAUAAUUUUUUAAUUACUAUUCAAUUGAAUUGAUAUUUGAUUAAUUUAUGAUAUCAAUUCAAUGAAAUAGAAAAUAUAAAUUUAUCUUAUUUGAUGAUUCAUGAAUUAAAUGCAUAUUUAAUUUAAAUGUUCUAAGUUAAACUUCAUCUCGCAUUUGAUAAUUUUAGUAAUAAAAAAUAGGGAUAAAUCUAAAAAUUAUACAUGAAGUUUGAUUUAAUGUGUAAUUGUAUACAUGAACAUUAAUUUGGUGGAAUUAUACGCGUGAAAAUCUAAUUGUGGUUCAAAUAUAUACUUGAAACUUUAAUUUUGAUUUAACCAUACACAUUUAAAGAAAUAAAUACAUCAGUUUAUUUUUAUAUUGGAUAAAUGUAAUUAUUUAUGCAUGCAAUAUAUAAACAUAAAAUGAUGUAAUAUCAAUAAUUGUGUUAAUAAUUUAAAAGAAUUGGAUCAAAUCAAAAUUUCAUGUAUAAAAUUACACAAAAUCAAAGUUCAUGUAUACAAUUGCAUAUUAAACCAUAGUUCACGUAUAGUUUUGGGAUUUAUCCCUUAAAAUUAAAUUUUCGAUAAUUUCAAACAUAAAAAAUUUUAUCGGCAUACUUUUAUCAUUUUCGUCACUGCCGAUAGUGACUAAAAUGAUAAAAGUAUGUAACAAUAGUGCCCAUAUUGCAAUCUUUUCAUUUUGGGCACUGAAAAUAAAAAGACUACAAUAUGGGCACUGUUUCAAUGCACAAAAUAAAAAUUUAUGAAAGUUGGAUGACUAAAUGUGUAGUUUAGUCAAAAAUUUUAAAAUAUAUUUUUGAAAAUAGUUAUUUGAUAAUUGAUUGGUGCCAAAUCCACCAAAAAUAAUAUUCCUACGCCUAAACAAUAUAUAAACAUCAGUAUAAGGAGUAGGGUCGAUCCCACAGAGAUUGAACAUCUAAAAUUAUUUUUCGAUUUAGCUAAGUUGAGUGUCAAGCACGACAUGUGAUGAUCUGUACAAAAAUAAAAAAAAAGGGAAUUAAAUCUGAUUAAAAUAAAAUUAAUAGAAAUACUUAAAAUCGAAAUAAAAGUAAAAUAAAUAAAAAAAAUAGAUUGAAUAUACCAAUGUGAAAAUAUUCUAGCUUCAAGCUCAAUUUCGGCUCUAGUUUCAAGCUGAUCUUUGAUAACACAUCUUCUCCUUCAAUCGUUAAAUCCGUUAUAGUAAUCGAGGACACCUCAUACCACCAUUCUUUCCGUGUGUAAAUUAAUUAUGGGAACACCCAAAAACUAACCCUUACCGAACGAAUAACCACAAAACACGUGUCCAUGAUUUAGCUCUUCGAUAGCCUUGUGAACUAGAAGAGCCCAAAAAUAAUCAACAACCUUAAAUGUGUGUGUCAUUUAAAUUCGAUUGUUAUUUCUCUUGACGGAUCCAACCAACCACUUAAUUGGACACGCCAAUGUGUUCUUCAAUAGAUCGAAUACGAUAACAGAUUAUAUCGAUUCUUCAAAUUGUAUGUCUAUCAACACCAAAUCAACAAACUAUUUUUUACCUGGUGUCACUAUAACUUUAUGAGACGGCAAUGUCUAUUCCUGAAACAAGAGAAAUAAUAAAUACCAAAAUAAAUGUUUUUUAAGUACGAUUUUGAAUCUCAUGGUUUUCUCCCGAAUUGACUAUCACCUUAAAGCUAAAUGGGAAAUUUAGCUAUUAAGAAAUUGUAACACCACAAAAUAUAUAGGGUUAAUUAAUCAAGAAAUGUCCUUGGUUUGAUGGUUAAAAAGUUAGCACUUUCCUAAUGGUCCUAGGUUUUAUCCACAUCUCAUGUAACGCCCCAGAAUUUUUAUUUUUGUUCUUGCGAAAGUGUGCCACAACUGUGUAUUUGCUUCAGUGGUUAAGUGUUCUGGGUGUGUGAGAGGUCCCAAGUUCAAGCCAGGACUUGGGAAAAUUUUGGUAUUUUUAUGAAUAAGCCCUAUCUUUGGUCAGUAGGCUUUUAAGUAAAAGUUGAAAAAUAUUAUUAGAAUGGGCUUGCUGGUUUGGUGGCUAAGUUAUGUGUUGGUAGGUGGGAGAUCUGGAGUUCAAGUACUUGCACGAGCAAGGGAAUUAUUUUUUUUAUUGCUUGGCCGUGUGGCGUGGUGGAGUCCUAGUCAAAUUGAAAUUUCGAGUAGUGGAGUUGCUGUGGAAGGUUAGGGAGAGAACUAAGGAGAUGAGUUACCAGAUUUUUUAGGCAUUAUCUUUUUGUUUACUUUUUUUUUUCAAAUUUAGAACUCUUUUCCACCUUUCUAACAUUUUCUCUCUUCUCCCCCACUCUCAAUUUUCAGUUUUCCUCUUUUUUUCUAAAUAAUAAAUCAUUGUUGUUGAACUUCCUUUGAAUUCCCCUUUCGUUUUCGUUGUCUUUCUUCAUCUUUUCCCCUUUGUGCAAGUGUGCAAUUGUGUUGUACGGUAAGUUUCCAUUUUAUUAAACUCGAAUGUUACUCUGGAUAAGGGAUUAAGGGGUGUUUUGUUGACUGUUUAGGAGUCGAUUGUACGGCUGGAAUUAACUUUCAUCGAUUUGACUCGAAGGGGUGAUCGUUUGGUAUGCGUAUAGGGUAUGUGUUUUCUUGUGUUGUUUGGCCGAGUGGUUUUGGCUUUGAAUUCAUUCUUAACUUUGUUGAACUCUUCAUUAAUGAGGAAUGGUUAUUUUUACAGCAGCGAAUCAUUUCGGUUGCUAUCUCCCUCGUGUUGAGUAGUUGUGGAAUUGUGCGAAGUUAGAAAGCUUUUUGUGAUCUCGGGAUUGCGUAAGCAGCGAAAACGGUACAGGUGUGUACCCGAAAGGCAGAAAAUGAGAUUCAGCGAAAAGCCAAAAUUGCUUGCUGUCGAGAAAUAAGAGAAAAUGAUGCGAAAAAUUGUAGAGAAAGGAAAUAAGGGUGUUAUAAUCUUGGAAAUCGACAUUUUGCACUAAAAUAGUUUUGGACUGCAGCAGUAAUCUAACUUUGAAAAAAUCAUCCAAAAUAGUGAAAAUUGAGUUAGAGGUUGAAUAAAAUAUGAAAUUAAAUUUUGUUGAGUCUAGUUUUUCAUGGAAGAAACAAUGUAAGCAAUAAAGUUGUAAGUUAUGAGAUAUAACGAAUUUUGUGAGACAAGGUCAGAAUGGUUUCGGGUUCCCCUGUUCUGACAUUGGAAAAAUAUCGAAAAUUGUAAAAAAAAUAAUUAGGGGCUUAAAUUUAUAUUUUUAAAUCCUUAACAAGUCUAUUUUCAAGAGAAACAAACAGAAACAUCAUCCGAAUUUCGUACUAAGAGAUAAAUAAUUUUAGUAAGGAAAGAUUGAAGCUGUCAAAUAGUAGAAUCGGGAUAGAUUUGAAGAUUUUACUGUACUUAUUUGAUAAACUAUAAAAUCUAAAAAUUUUAUGGUAGAAAAAUAUUUGAGUCUAGUUUCGAAAACAUCAAGCGGAUCUUAAUUUAGAAUUCUGUAGCUCAAGAUAUAAAUAAUUUAGUGACAAUGACUCAAGUAGACAGCUUUGAAUGAACAUAUAAGUAAAUAGUGAAAACAUAUAUGAAUAUUUAGCUAGCAUGGGUUACAUUAAAAAUGGAUCACACGACCAAGACCAAUUUGGGUCGAGUGGGCUACACGGGCACACACGGGCGUGUGGGCCCAUUUUUACUGGAAUGUUUCUAAGGUUGCACGAGUCGCCCAAGUCGACUGUGAACCUAUUAUAAGGUCGGUUAGCGCUACUUAGACCCCUAAAUGUGUGAAAUUGACUGAAUGAUAUUUGUACUGAGCAUGUUAAUAUCUGAACUGAAUAUAUGUGCUGAAAUUGCAUAAUAGCAUAUCAUCCAUGGUAUGUUGCAUUGCAUUGGGUUAGAGGUUGUUAUUCGGAGGAAGUGUACUAAAAGGCUUUAAGCCUAAUUUACUGGCAGCUCAGCUGCAAACUACUGUUUUGUGCUGCAUUCGAUACUAAUUGGAGUGUAGGGAUGGGUCGGUUGAUUAUAUCCCCACAUGGAGUGUAGGGUUGGACGGAGAUGGUAUGUAGAGGCUGGAUGGGUAGGAUUUUGCUACUGCAUAAUUGUUACUGCUACUGAUACUGUGAUGGGCUAAGGCCCUACUGCAUUUUUGACACUGUACUGAGAUGGGCUAAGGCCCAAACUGUCACUGAUACUGAAAAGGGCUUAGGCCCAAGACUGUUCAACUGUGCACUAUGAUUACUGAUUGCUUGUUUAUUUCUGCGGGAUUACACACUGAGUUUACGUAAACUUACCCUUUUUGUUUAAUGUGCACAGGUAAUCCCCAGACUUAGAUGGAUCGGUGCGACGGAGGACUCAGCGGUGACCACAGAAAUUUUUGGACUUCAUGGUUUUCAAUUUACGUUUUAUGAUUUAAUUAUUAUUGAUUAGUUGGGUUGUAAUUUAAGGACCCUCUGGGACUUUGGUUUUAAAUUUUGGGUUUUUAUUUAUUUAUUUUACUUUAUGGAUUUGUACCUGCUGGUCAUAGGAAAUUCGGUUUUCAAAAAGUUAAAGUAUUUUCUAAACGUAUGAUCACUUAGACUGUUUUAUUAAAGCUUUUGUAACGAGGGAUGUUUCAAAACAAAUGUUUUAAAUGAAUAAAGGCGACUUCCUAAGUUCUAACAAAGGUUUACUAAAGAUAAUAACAUGGAAUGUUUUCAUCGUAACAACGAGGUUUCAAAAACACUAUCGUGUGACAUUACCAGAUACGACCAUAAUGUCUAGGCUGGGUUUAGGGUAUUACAUCUCACCCAUAUUUUUCUUUUCAUUUUCAGCAAACUAGAAUGAAAAUCUCCAUAGAAUAUAUAUUAAAUGGAGUAAAAAAUGAUCAAGUGUGGGUAGUAGCUCAAUGGUUAAGCAUCAUUCCUUUCUCCCUUGAAUCCCAAGUAUAAGUCACACCACUCACCCUAUUUCAUUUUUUAUUUUCGGCAAGAAGGGUUAAUUACCCAUCCAAACAGUACCUAAAAAUUUGAAAACCCUAGCUAUUUAAACCAUUAUCCUAACUAGGCUAGGAUUUUGUUUCCUUCUCCAAUUCUCCUAGAACUUUACUUCCAUCUUUUCUAUUUCUUCCCUCUUUCUUUUCUUUGCUUUUCUUUUCAUCAAAAUUUUGUUCCAUUGCUGAAAAUCGUUCUUGAUUACCCAAAAUCGAAAUCUAUUCUCGAUUUUAACUCACUUUUCAACUAGAUUCGUAAUCGCAAUUCGAAACAUUCUCCGAUCGUUGCCAAGAAUCAGUAAGAACAUUCUAAUCCCAAAGUUUAGAUCUUAAAUUCCUGUAGACUUUUUAUUCAUGUUAAUUUUAAGAUUGAUCAAAUGAUCUUUUACGAAUCUUGUCAAUAUUUCCCAGUAAUCUUGAUAAAUCUUGAAUAUCGUUAUUAAUUCUUACUUAAAUGCCAUUUGAAGGACUUGAUCUAGGUACCUCGAAUUAGAUUCAGGCGCAAGGAACGUCGUUUGAGAUCUCGAAGUCAAGUGUAUGUUCUUUUACAAGUGAAUCGAUGCAAAAUCAUGCCUAAGAUAGUGCCACACAGGCGCGUGGGCCACCGGUGUGGACCACACGGCCCCCUCACAUGACCAUGUCCCCCUGAAACCCUAGGUUAUUUCGACCCUCACACGGCCUAGGACCCUCCACACGGUCGUGUCUCCCUUAUAGGUUGAUUUUUCAAAUGCCACAAGGCCACAGUCUGUCACACGACCUAGCCACAUUGUCGUGUACUCCUUCCACACAGUCUAGGGCUUUCCACAUGGUCGUGUGUCCCCUGUACCUUAGAUUUUACAAUUUUGACCAAGAAUUUUAUGUUUUGUUUAGUUUAGUCCCUGAAUGAUUUUCGAACUAUUUAUAGUGCUUCAAAUUAUUCAAUUAAGCCCUGAUGAUAUGAAUUAUGUUAGAAUCCAUGAUUUGAUGAAUUGAUUUAGUAUGAUAUUUAUAUAUAUAAACAUGAAUUGUGAACAUUAUAUAUAUGUAUAUUAUUUUAGGGUUUGUAAUCGUAUGUAUGGUAUGCCUUAUGUCAGUGUCAAACCAAGCACACAAAAAGCAUGAUUUUUACUAAUAAAUUAAUCUGUCACAAGCAUGUUCAUUGCUACUGAACCAAACCAUUAUAAGAAUACUGAUUGCUAUUGUAUUGUUUGUUAAAAGCAUAAUUUAAUGUUAUUUUAUUAAUCUGACGAACAUGUCAUAUUGCUUUGCAUGGGAUGGGAUGUUAUGAAUGGAGGAAGUAUUUGCAGUAUAUCUGCAUUUAUUUUUUUGUGAACCCACAGCCAUAGGCAAAUUCCAUCUACGACGGUUUGUUGUGUACCCACAACCAUAGGCAGAUUCCAUCUGCAAUGUUUUUGCUGUGCAUCCAUAACCCUUUGACAGUAAUCAUUUGCAAGCAUGUUUUGCAUCCAUGGCCAUUGGCAGAUUUUACCUGCACUAUUUUGUGUCCACAGCCAUUGGCAGUAAAAUUGCAAUCUAUUGGUAGUUAAUCCAUAAUUUGGUGUGUUAGCGGUUGGAGUUUUGGAUAACUCUAAUCGUGGUGUGUAGCGGUGGAGUAGGAUCUUUUCUAUUAAAACUGAUACCGUAUGGCAUCUAUAAAAGCAUCUGCAUGCAAACCUAGAAUUUCUGGUAAGAUAUAUUUAUAUCUAAAUAUAUGAAUGAGUUAUCUGUGAAAUCAAUAUUCUGAUAUUGCUAUUGUAAAUUAUAUAAGCUAAUGAUGGCUAAAUUGAAAAUGGAUAUUUUGAACUGCUACUUAAUUGCGAUUAUUUUAUGCAUUAUUAUUUAAUAUGCCUUACCGACUAUUGUGCUAAUUUUAUUGUGAUGGAACUCAAAGUGAGCGUCAUAGCUCAGUCCCCCUUUAAUUUUCAUCCUUAUAGAUAACUCACCAGGUUAGGGCGCGGACAUGGCAUCCGGAGGGUCUCGGCUCAGUUUUGUUAAAAUAUUUUUAGAUAUAUUAUUUGAAAUUUCAUUAUUUAGAGAUUGUAUUAUUGUUUUAUUUGAAUUGUGGCAUGGGGUUUAUGAUUUGAGUUUGUUUUUAUUUUGCAUAACACUUGAUUUAAAUUUUUAGGACAUCAUGUUACGAUUAUUAACUAGUAUGCAUGAACCCCGAUUUUUAUUAAAAAUAAAUAGACAUUACUUUUCCGUUGCUAAAUCAUAAUUAAAAUUUUGAGGAUUAAUAAAUCGGUUUGUAUCUAAAUUUCCUACCAAAAUAAACAAAUGUUUUAAAAUGACCGUUUUCAAAACUUCGAUAGCUUAUUGAGCCACUUUAGUAGAUAAUAUAAUCUUUCGAAUUCAGAUCUAACGUCUAGGUCUGGUUAAAGAUGUUACAUAAACAUAUUCAUAUAAAGGUUUUCAACAAAGUUAAAAAUAAUAAUAAUAAAAGAAAGCAAUAAAUAUUAAAACCCACCCAACCAACCGGAACACCACUCCGACCACCCUGCACACCACAAUUGGGCUAUGGUAGGCCGAUCCACCCUACACACCACAAUAGUGCGUAUAAGCCACUCAAAAGGAAAUAUGCAACUGAGCUGACAUAUAUAUAAUAAUGCAGUAAAAUUGCUGUACAGAAUAUUACAGAUAAACUGAUCAAAUCAAACUUUCUUCUCUUCACAACCAAAACCCCAAAUUAUUUAUGAAAAUGUAAAAAUGCACACAACAUGCAGGUAAACAUAUAAUUAACAAACAGAAUAUUACAGAUGAUGACUGAAUACUGAAUUUGAACUUGUAAUUUUUGAAUUUAAAAUCAACACAUAAUUAAUAAGAUAUUAUUUUUUGGGCAUUGUGAAGGUGUUAAUACCUUCAUCGCAUGUAAUUGAUUCCCGAACUCGAAUUUUCUUUGAUUUUCAAAUAACAAACCAACUAAUUAUAUUUUUAAAAGGCGAUUUUAUAGGUACCUGAUCACACCUAGUUAAAAGAUUUGUGACGAAUCUUAUGUUCUAAAUAAAAACCCAAUGUUUUAAAAUUUUAAAUUUUUCAUAUUUUUCUCAAAAUUUGUCAAGCUAGCUUUGUUCAUAAAAAUGGCAUUGAAAUUAGUCAUCCAACUUUUAGUAUUUUUUGAGUCACCCAACUAUGGAACUUUACAAAAAAUGACCAUCCAACUAUUCAGCCUUUUUCUUUUUUGUCACACAACUAUAUGAAUUUUUCUUUUUUGGUCUCCGGCCAUUAAUUUGCUAAUAGAAAGAUAACUUGACAAUUUUUAAAAUUGGCAUAAUAACAACUUUAACCCUCAACAUUUAUGCAUUGUAUUAAUUUAGUCUUGAUUUCAAAAAAAAUAACUAUCAACAUUUACAUAUUAUAUAAUUUGGUCUCUCUCUCUCUCUCUCUCUCUCUCUCUCUCUCUUACUUCUUACUUUACUUUCUUUACCUUUAAUUUUCCGUUUACNNNNNNNNNNNNNNNNNNNNNNNNNNNNNNNNNNNNNNNNNNNNNNNNNNNNNNNNNNNNNNNNNNNNNNNNNNNNNNNNNNNNNNNNNNNNNNNNNNNNNNNNNNNNNNNNNNNNNNNNNNNNNNNNNNNNNNNNNNNNNNNNNNNNNNNNNNNNNNNNNNNNNNNNNNNNNNNNNNNNNNNNNNNNNNNNNNNNNNNNNNNNNNNNNNNNNNNNNNNNNNNNNNNNNNNNNNNNNNNNNNNNNNNNNNNNNNNNNNNNNNNNNNNNNNNNNNNNNNNNNNNNNNNNNNNNNNNNNNNNNNNNNNNNNNNNNNNNNNNNNNNNNNNNNNNNNNNNNNNNNNNNNNNNNNNNNNNNNNNNNNNNNNNNNNNNNNNNNNNNNNNNNNNNNNNNNNNNNNNNNNNNNNNNNNNNNNNNNNNNNNNNNNNNNNNNNNNNNNNNNNNNNNNNNNNNNNNNNNNNNNNNNNNNNNNNNNNNNNNNNNNNNNNNNNNNNNNNNNNNNNNNNNNNNNNNNNNNNNNNNNNNNNNNNNNNNNNNNNNNNNNNNNNNNNNNNNNNNNNNNNNNNNNNNNNNNNNNNNNNNNNNNNNNNNNNNNNNNNNNNNNNNNNNNNNNNNNNNNNNNNNNNNNNNNNNNNNNNNNNNNNNNNNNNNNNNNNNNNNNNNNNNNNNNNNNNNNNNNNNNNNNNNNNNNNNNNNNNNNNNNNNNNNNNNNNNNNNNNNNNNNNNNNNNNNNNNNNNNNNNNNNNNNNNNNNNNNNNNNNNNNNNNNNNNNNNNNNNNNNNNNNNNNNNNNNNNNNNNNNNNNNNNNNNNNNNNNNNNNNNNNNNNNNNNNNNNNNNNNNNNNNNNNNNNNNNNNNNNNNNNNNNNNNNNNNNNNNNNNNNNNNNNNNNNNNNNNNNNNNNNNNNNNNNNNNNNNNNNNNNNNNNNNNNNNNNNNNNNNNNNNNNNNNNNNNNNNNNNNNNNNNNNNNNNNNNNNNNNNNNNNNNNNNNNNNNNNNNNNNNNNNNNNNNNNNNNNNNNNNNNNNNNNNNNNNNNNNNNNNNNNNNNNNNNNNNNNNNNNNNNNNNNNNNNNNNNNNNNNNNNNNNNNNNNNNNNNNNNNNNNNNNNNNNNNNNNNNNNNNNNNNNNNNNNNNNNNNNNNNNNNNNNNNNNNNNNNNNNNNNNNNNNNNNNNNNNNNNNNNNNNNNNNNNNNNNNNNNNNNNNNNNNNNNNNNNNNNNNNNNNNNNNNNNNNNNNNNNNNNNNNNNNNNNNNNNNNNNNNNNNNNNNNNNNNNNNNNNNNNNNNNNNNNNNNNNNNNNNNNNNNNNNNNNNNNNNNNNNNNNNNNNNNNNNNNNNNNNNNNNNNNNNNNNNNNNNNNNNNNNNNNNNNNNNNNNNNNNNNNNNNNNNNNNNNNNNNNNNNNNNNNNNNNNNNNNNNNNNNNNNNUAUGCACUAGAUAGACUAUCGAGGGCAUUAAAUGACGAACAAUGAAAAUAAAAGGAUAAAUUACAUCAUUAGUCCCUAAACUAUAAGUAAGUUUUCAUUUUAGUCGCUUAACUAAAAAAGUUACAAUUUGAUCACUAAACUAUUCAAAAGUUAUCAUUUAAGUCAUUGAGCUGUUAAAAUCAAAGUUAUAUGGCUAAACAGGAUGUAUUGAACUCAUAAUUCAUUAGAUACUUUUUAUGAAUGUCAACUAAGUAUCGUAAGUAAAUUGGUCUAGGUUGUUCAAUCAUUUGAUAACCAGAGUCAUUCUUUGAUAAAUGAUCACUAUGAGUCAGACUCAAUAGAAUUUGAUCAAUCCUUUUUUCUGUCGUUAAGGUGGAGAACUGAACCAAGAAUUCUCUUCCUUUAUCAUCAAUCAAAUCACUGUUCGCGACCUAGGAUUCUAUUUUCUCAUCAAUCCAAUCAGCGCUCACUUUUUUCUUUCUCUUAUCAAUGAAUAGAUCUCGCUGCCUGCACCAAUUGAAACCUCUCUUUCCCUUUCUUUUCUACAGUUCAUUUUUUUAUGAAAUAGCUUUGAACGUCAUAAAUUUGCAAUUCAAAAUUCAAAAAGCUUUUUUCUCUAAUCUCCGACAUUGACCAUCAAAUCAACUUGGAUCUAAGAUAUGUUCUUCUACUCAUCAAUAGUUAUUGAUUCAGUGUACCGAUUGUCAAAUCAUUGCUUUGAGCUUUCUUGCGAAACUUCUAAAAAAAAAUAAUAGCGUAGUAACUUAAUAAAAUUUUUUGAAUACUUCAUUGACUUAAAUAAAAAUUUUCUAAUGAUUCAAUGAUCAAAUUAUAAUUUUUUUAGUUAAGUGAUCAAAACGAAGAUUUACCUACGAAAAGAACAACUCAAAAACCGAUAUGCCCUCCGUUUAUAUUUUUAUUUUAAGGUUGUAUCCUUUUGACUUAAGAAAAACAAUAGAAGCUAAAAGGUUGCAAUGAUUUUAGCAUGUUAUAGAUAACUAUAAUGCUUUGGAAAAUAUUAAUUUUUAAUUUCAUAAUAAAUAAUAUAUAGAUGUGCAGUAAACAAGAAGUUUUUACAAUAAUACAUUGCUUUCACUAAAGUCAAGUGAAUACAGUAUAUUAACAUUGUUUAUUCUAUUUGUAAUCUUUCAAUUUUUAUUAAUUUAAUCAAAACAAUAAAUAAUCGAUUAUGAUUUUUAUAAUUAAAUAUCCUUACCAGUCUUUUUAAGCUGUUAUUAUUAUAUUAUUACUUUAAACGUGCAUUGAAACUAAAUAAAAAUACGAAUAUUAUAUAAUUUUUUUUGACUGAUCCAAGAUGAAAUUUAAUAAAAUCUAUUUGUUGUAUAUUUAUUAUCGAUAAACAUUGGUCUUCGUACGUCUCCUUUAGAAUAUUUACACUUAAUUCACAUAAAUAUAAAAUAUGAAUAUAAUUGUUUAAAUUCUUUUGUUUGGAAAGGAAUAAAUAUAUAAUUUCUUAAGCUUGGCGGCAAUAUCUAAUACGAAAUCCUUGAAAAGAAUCUUGUUUGAUUGCUAGGUUUGCCUUUGAAUAUGGAAAUUAAGUAAUUUUGAAAAAAAUGUUCUUCCUCACAAUUUUAAAAAAUAUAUAUAGUAAUUUUGAAAGGUAUAAUAAUUUUACGUGUUCCUAGUGAAUAUAUUAUUAAAAAUUAAAUGAAUUUUUUUUAAUUUUAUAUUAUUAUCUGAUUUACUGAUAGUGUCAAUGCAUCAUAUAUAAAUCCAUUGAAUUCAAGUUCUAUACAUUUAUAUUAGCUAUUAUUAUUGGCUUAUUGGUACUAUAAAUUUUUGAAUUAUUUUUAAAUGAUUGACUAAGUCCAUUUGAACCUUUUAUAUCCACUUGAGUCUUUAAACUGACAAUUUUGACCAACGAGAUUUUUUUACCAACGUUGAUCAUUAGAAACCAACACCAACAUUGAUGUGGUCAUUAAUGGAUAUCACAUUAAUCAACAAAUGCUGAUGGGGUGAUCCGCAUCAAUAAAAAUUAAAAAUAUUUUAAAAUUAUUGUAAAAAAAUGUACACAAUAAACUUAAAUAAAUAGUUGUCCAGGUUCAUUUGAAUGUAGAUAUUCAGAUGUCCAUAUUCAUCAUGGAAUUAUAAAAAGAAACAAAAAAAAUUAUAAAGAAUAAUUAAAAUUAUAAAAAAUAAUAAAAUUAUUAUAAAUUAAUUAAAAAUCAUAAAAUUUUAUAAAAUAAAUUAAAACAAAGCUUUUUAUUAUAAAUUUUUAUAAAGUCCAUUAGGUUGAAUAAAAGCUUUUAAUUAAAAUCCAUUUGGACUUUUUUAAAAGUUUCUAAAGAUUUUAUUUAAAAACAUUAAAAUUAUUAUAGUUUCUAAAAAUAUUUUUAUUUACAAUCCAUUUGGUUUUAAUAAUCCAUAAACAAUUACAAAAAAAAAACUUUUAUAUAAAUAUAAUUUGGUUUUUAAUUUUAUACGUUUUAAUAAUUUUUAAUAAUUUAAAAAAAACUUUUAAAAAAUAAUUUUAAUAAUUUUAUAAUAAUUUUAUAAAAUUUAAUAAUUUUGUUAUAAUUUUUUUAUUUUUUUAUAAUUUCGAAAUGAAUAUUGAAAAAUGUGGGUCCAUAUUCAAAUGAGCAUGGACAAUCAUUUGUCCAGCAUGAUUGUACAUUUUUUAAAAAUAAUUUUAAAAUAAUUUUUUAUUUUUUUUAUUUUUACUGAUGUGGCACUGUCAAGUUAGCAUUUGUUGGCUAAUGUGGCAUUUGUUAACAAUCAUAUUAGUGUUGCUAUUAGUUUCUAACGAUUAAUAUUGGUCAAAUGGCCUUGUUGGUCAAAAUUAUCAAUUCAAUGAUUCAAUUGAGUAGAAAAGAUUUGGAGGGGUUUACUUGAUUUUUGAAAGAAGUUUGAAUGCUUAAUAAGCCUAUAUUAUCUUCAAUCGAUUAAUUCUAUCAAUCAUCUCUAAACUAUUGCCAAUAUCAUAAUGUCAAAUUUAACCGCAACAUUUACAUCUUUCAUCAAUUUGGUUUUUUUGUUUGUUUAUAUUUUAGUUAAAUUUGGCCCUUAAUCUUUUAAAAAAGAGUUAAAUCAUUUUUUAUAGAAAAUCCUGACUAAAACAUUAAAUUUUUUUUAACGAAGAUGGCAUGGCAGCUCGUGUGGCAAUCCACGUGUACUUCAUUUUCACAUAACACUAUUUAUUAUAUGCCACACCAAAAUAUAAUUUAAAAAUUAAAAAAUAAAAAAAAUUUAUAAAAAUUCAAAAAAAAAGUAUGAAGUACAUGUGGAUUGGUAUGUGAGCUACCGUGUUUAAAAAUUUAACGGUUAAUUUUCAUUAAAAAAUAGCAAUUCAACAAUUUUUGAAAGGUUUAAUUUAAAUAUGACAUUUUUUUUUUGAAAGGUUGAUGACCAAAUUUAGCUAAAAAAAAGGGAUCAAAUUGACAAAAAAAAUUGUAAAUGUAAGGACUAAAUUUGUGUUAUGCCCAUUCUUAAUUAGUUUAAAACUUCAAAAUAUGUUAAUUGAAUCUUUAAAAUAUCAACAUUGUAUCAAAUAGGUUUUCUAUCAAUGUCGUAGUUAAUCUAAUUGUUAAAUGUGAAUCAAGAUAUGAUAUGCGGCAUGCUUAAAAGCAAACGGAUUAAACUGUAAACUCAUGUGUAUCUACCACAUAAAAAAUUUAGGUUUGACGUAUUUAAAAAUCGAUGUCAAUAAAAUGUUAUCUAUGCUGUAGAUAUAUGCGUCUUUACAAUUUGAUCUACGUAUUUCAAAUACACUUCAACUCAAACCUGAGUUGGCAUUUAAUGCCUCAACUAAUUGUUAACAUAAUAGAAAGACUUGAUUGAUAUGAUACUAAUACUUUGAGGACUGAAUUAAAACAUUUUUAAAAUUUGGAAUUGAAUUGAAAAUAUGCAUAAUUUGAGAACAUUACGUCAUAGUUUAAAGUGUUUAUGGUAAAUUAGUGAAUGGUAAACCUGACAUGCUUUAUUAUAAUAGUAAACAUUAACUUCUCUUUACUCAGUUUAAUUGUGGGAUUGUAAUUAUCAUUUAUUUACAACUGAUUAAUUUUCAUAAUUACAUGCUAUUUUGGAGGGAUUUACCAAAAAAAGCCAAUUUUUUUAUAAAAUUACCGAAAUAGGCCGGUUUUUUAAUUAUUUACCGGACUGGGCCAUUUCCCCCAAAAUCGCGCCACGUCGGAGCGAUGUCAGGGGACGGGGCAAAAGGUAGCGUCCACGUCAGCGCGACCUGAUGACGUGGGAGGAAAUCGCUCCCUUGAGGGCGCGAUUUCCUUCCAUGUCAGCAGGUCGCGCUGACGUGGACGCGACCUCCUGUCACUUAGCGCGAUAUCGGGAACGCGAUUUUGACCCUGAUUUUUACGCCUGAGUUUUAUGUUUUAGGGUUUAGGGUGCAUGCUUUUUAGGAGUUAGGGGUUCAGGAAAAUUUUUUUUCGAGUUGACGUUUCUGGUUAAAUAGUGGGAAAUCGCUUCUACUAGGAUGCUAUUUAAGAAGAAAUUGUGAAAUAGUGGCCUCGUGGACGCGAUUUCGCUACAGUGGUCAUGUGAGAAAUAAUUUUUUUUGACGUUUUCUGAGGAAAUAGUAUAAAAUCGCUGAUACCAGGAUGCUAUAUGAGAAGAAAUUGUGAAAUCGCGCCCUCGUGGACGCGAUUUCGCUACAGUUGGUCAUGUAGGAAAUAAUUUUUUUUGACGUUUUGAGCAAAUAGUGUCAAAUCGCACCCUCGUGGACGCGAUUUCGCUACAGUAGCAAGUUUGGGCUGAGGCUAUAAAUUAGGCAGAGAAUUUUCUUAGAAUGCAUAACUCAGAGCAGAAACAUUUUAGGUUAGGGUUAGGGAAUUUAGAGUUUCAAAAUGAGUGAACGUAUUAGUGCUGUUAUUUACUACGAUGGUGAGAUUUGCCACACCGAGAAUGGUGUUGUUUUUUUGUCGGAGAAUACGGUGCGACUGUCAUUUAGACAAAACAUAGAUUUGACAGAACUCCGUAAAAGAAUUAGGCGUAAAAUCUUCGGAACCACGUCAUUGACAUAUGACUCAUCUUGCUAGCGGAGCAACUUAUAUUGAGUUAUAUGUACAAUUUAUGUCACCAAAUGAUGUACUUCCGUCCGGUGUUUGAGAUGUAUACACGACCCCUGGCCGACACUCGAUUAGCGUGUUACAAAAUACGGAACAGCCUAUGUUCGGUAGUGGUGUCGAAUGCACAUCCCCCCAAGACACUCUGUCGGUGGAUGGGACAUGUACGUCGGUGGCUCGACGGUUGACGCUGGAAAUACGAGCUGGAGAACCGCAUCAAGUUCUACUAGAUGGCAAUCUACAUCCAAUUGGGGGCGUUAUCAAAUGCCCAGAAGAAGGGAUGACGUACUACCUACGACAUCAACCGGUGAGGGGACGUCGUAUGCUGCAGAUGAUUGUGGGUUAGAAGGUGAGUCCGAUGUGGAUCCACCUCGAGAGCCCGGGCCGGAUGGUGCAGAGGUGGGACUAUUUUCUGAACCGGAGCCUAUUCCAAUAGAAGGUGAAGAUGGUGAUAUGAGUGCAGAUGAUGAAGAAAAUCCACGAUUCAGAGCAUAUUCACCUCCAGCCCACAUGCAUAAUGUCGAUCUAUCAGCAGAUGAUGCGUUAGAGUUUCCAGAUCUACCACACCGGGUGCGCGAUCGUACAAGUUCGGGAGUAGAUGUUGGUGAACUUGAAGUUGGUAAUCAGUUUACCAAUAAGGAUAGUUUUAUUGGUGCUUUGAAACAGCAUAGCAUCAAAAACGGCGUUAAUUAUCAAAUUGUAUUAAAUUAUGUAUUGAUAAUUGUAUUAAAUUUUGGUUAAAUUAUCAAAUUACUACAAUUUCUUAAAUGUUAGUACCAGUCAAAACAUUUUACGAAAUCCAACAUUAUGUAAAACUACAAUUUAAUUAGGGUUUUUAAUUAAAUAGGGUUAGGAUUUUUAAUUUAAUUAAAUUAGGUUAGGGUUUUUAAUUAAGUAGGGUUAGGGUUUUUAAUUUAAUUAAAUAAGGUUAGGGUUUUUAAUUUAAGUAGGUUAGGUUAGGGUUUUUAAUUUAAUAAAAUUAGGUUAGGGUUUUUAAUUAAAUUAGGUUAGGUUAGGGUUUUUAAUUUAAUUAAAUUAGGGUUUUUAAUUAAGUAGGGUUAGGGAUUUUAAUCAAAUAAUGUCAAAAUAACUCGGAAAAAAUUCUAUUUGUAUUACAUCGUCAUAAACUUCUAAUUCAUUACAUCAAAUGAUUAAUUUUAAUACGGUAAUCAAUGUCUAUGACCGGGGGAUUUUAAUCAGUUCCACAUGGCGGCCGUCGACGGUUACGCGCUGGAUUCCUCCUUUCUCUAGCUUCCAGGGGCGGUUGUUGUUCCUCCGGUGGGGAUUCUGGUUCUUCCGGUUUGGCAUCUGGUUGUCGGACUUGGGACGAUGAUCCACCUUCAAAGAAUAGUGUAUGUGGAGGUGUUUGCAUCAUGAACGGCGACGGAGUUUGAAAGCCAUGCGUUGCUGGCGAUUGGUAAAAAGGAGAGCUCCCCGACGGCCCCCCUUGCGACCCCUCCUGCGCCGAUGGCCUAGUUAUCGGUGGUCCGCUCGGCAUUACAGGAAAUGGAGCUGAUCCGGGCAUUUGGCUCCAACCUGCCAUAGGAUUCGGAAAAGGAUACAUGUACGGGUUAGGGUACAUAUAAGGGCUAGGAAACAUACCUGGCAUCAUAGGGAAAGGUGAAUGCGUGGGUAUCAUCUGUUGAAUUGCUGCGCCAGGUGACUGCGUUGGUGCUCUCGUUGGGGACGGUGAUUACAUGGUCGCUGAUGAUGAACUGGGUGAAUGUCUGGGCCUCGUUGAGGGGCUGCCCUCGUAGUUUUGUCCCCUAGGAUUUUGAGGCCCGCGUCUUUCCCUUCCGACACGUAUUUGCCGCCGCCUCUCCUCCGGCGUAAGUAAAUACGGCUUCCCAUGGGCCCUAAACCAUGCCUUGUAUUCUGGAACGCACGCUAACUCGGGAACGAUGAUUGGUUCCGGAGUAGGUAGAUAUUCAUUCUGAUUUUCCCACAUUUCUGUGUACACUGACCAGUACAACAGCCAAUCCGUACCUAAUAGCCGAAGGUCGAUUUUGUGGUGCUCGUCAAACUCCUCAGGGUCCGCAGGGAUCGGUUGUCUACAUCCAAACUGUCGUAGGACUCUGUCUGUCUGGUGGGGCUCCACGGUUGCAUAGUUGAUCAACACCACUUUCACGUGCCAAGCGUUCAGAUUUUGUAAAAACUCUUCCGGGAUUACUGCCCGAACUGCCGGAUCCUCGUAUGGUGUCCAUUGAAACUAUAUGAACAUGAUAACAAUAUUACAUAUAUACAUAAUACUAAAUACUAAAUAUCAAUCCACUAGCGAAUGUAUGGAAAUAUCUAUUUGCAAUAAUACUUACUUCUGCUUCCGAGUGUUGCUCCAAUAGAAGCCGUAUAUCUUCAAGUUCAGUCGGUAUUCCACGAUAACUUGCCGGAUGGUUCCACCUAAUUAAAUAAAUUUUUAGCAUUCUUUUAUUCUUACAAAAUCUACAUAUCAAUUUCAAAAUGUAAUAUAAAAUUUACCUCGUUACGAGUGGGAAUGUAUAUGGGUGGUUCACUCAAGGACGUAGAAAUGGAAAGCGAAACCAUGCCCAUGAUUGCAGUAGUGACAGGCAACCUCCGAUUUUUGCUCUCCUCGGUUUGGUCGCCCCGCACAUCUCCCGAUAUAAUGUUGCCAAGACGGCAGACCCCCAACUAAAUUCACCGGCUGCUCUAAAAUCAACGAGUUUUAGCAGCCACCUUAGAUGUACACGGCUCCGUGAUGUGUCGGCCAUGAGAUAGCCUCCAAUUAUUUGAAGAAUGUAUGAUCGAGCAUAUCGGAUUCUUUCAAUCUCGGUUGAAUUUUCAUUCAGACCGGGGAAGGUGGCACGUAACCAGCCCAUCUCCACCUUACCUCCAUCCAUUUUAUCCGGAACGGCGCCCAAAAGCUCGUAGCACACCGCCUCCCAAUUGCUAGAUUGGGCAGACCCGUCACUGGGUGCCCAUCCACCGGCAAUCCCAAAUGCNNNNNNNNNNNNNNNNNNNNNNNNNNNNNNNNNNNNNNNNNNNNNNNNNNNNNNNNNNNNNNNNNNNNNNNNNNNNNNNNNNNNNNNNNNNNNNNNNNNNNNNNNNNNNNNNNNNNNNNNNNNNNNNNNNNNNNNNNNNNNNNNNNNNNNNNNNNNNNNNNNNNNNNNNNNNNNNNNNNNNNNNNNNNNNNNNNNNNNNNNNNNNNNNNNNNNNNNNNNNNNNNNNNNNNNNNNNNNNNNNNNNNNNNNNNNNNNNNNNNNNNNNNNNNNNNNNNNNNNNNNNNNNNNNNNNNNNNNNNNNNNNNNNNNNNNNNNNNNNNNNNNNNNNNNNNNNNNNNNNNNNNNNNNNNNNNNNNNNNNNNNNNNNNNNNNNNNNNNNNNNNNNNNNNNNNNNNNNNNNNNNNNNNNNNNNNNNNNNNNNNNNNNNNNNNNNNNNNNNNNNNNNNNNNNNNNNNNNNNNNNNNNNNNNNNNNNNNNNNNNNNNNNNNNNNNNNNNNNNNNNNNNNNNNNNNNNNNNNNNNNNNNNNNNNNNNNNNNNNNNNNNNNNNNNNNNNNNNNNNNNNNNNNNNNNNNNNNNNNNNNNNNNNNNNNNNNNAAUUGAGAGAUUUUGACCGUUGGGCACUGUUCACGCGCGCGUCCACAUCGCGUCCACGUCAACGUGACCUGCUGAUGUGGAAGGAAAUCGCUCCCUUGAGGGCGCGAUUUCCUUCCACGUCAUCAGGUCGCGCUGACGUGGACGCGACCUUCUGCCCCGUCCCCUGACAUCGCUCCGACGUGGCGCGAUUUUAGGGGAAAUGGCCCAGUCCGGUAAAUAAUUAAAAAACCGGCCUAUUUCGGUAAUUUUAUAAAAAAUUGGCUUUUUUUGGUAAAUCCCUCGCUAUUUUGAUUUAGAAAAUUAUUAUAAAUAUUUUUCGGUGUUUGUUUCAAUGGUUUUAUAAUUUCCUUUUCCAGCAGCCGCUUUCAAAACACCACCAGAAUAAUAACGAAACUGAAUCUUUAAAUAAAACCGGCUUAAAAAUAAUAAAUGAUUUCCUAAGAUCAAAAGGAACAACUUCCCUACAAAAUAGACUAGUUAGCGUUGCUGUUAGUUUCUAACGAUCAACGUUGGUCAAAGGGCUUUGUUGGUCAAAAUUGUCAAUUCAAGGAUUCAAUUGAGUAGAAGAGGUUCCGAGGGAUUUAAUUAAUUUUUUUUAAAGUUAAAAUUCUUAAUAAGCCCAUAUUAUUUUGAUUAAUUCUAUUAGUCAUCUCUAAUUUAUUGCCAAUAGUCUUAUAGCAUAAUGUCAAAUUUAGCCACCAUAUUUAUAUAUUUUGUCAAUUUAACUCUUUUUCUUAUUCUUUUUAGCUAAAUUGGCCCUUAGUCUUUUAAAAAAGAGUCAAAAAGUUUUUUUAACAAAAAUCCUGACUAAAACAUUAAUUUUUUAACAAAGUUGGCAUGGAAACUUGUGUUACAGUCCACAUGUACUUCAUGUAGACAUAACUCUAUUUAUUAUAUGCCACACCAACAAGUAAAUUAAAAAUUAUAAAAAAAUUCAAAAAAAAAAAAAUAAUAAUAUGAAGUACAUGUGGAUUGGCAUGUGAGCUGCCAUGUUUAAAAAUUUAACGGUUUAUUUUCAUUAAAAAAAUAACAUUUCAACUAUUUUUGAAAGGUUUAAGGUUAAAUAUGAUUUUUUUAAAAGGUUGAAGACCAAUUUGAGCUAAAAGAACAAAUGUCAAAUUAACAAAAAAGAAUGUAAAUGUUGAGAACCAAAUUUAACGUUAUGCCUAUUCUUAAUUAGUUCUAAACUUCAAAAUAGGUUAAUUAAAUCUUUAAAAUAUUAGUGUAAUAGCCCAAUUUGCCCAGGGCCCAUUCAGAAUAAGCAGAAAAAAACCAAAAAAAUAAUUAAAUGUCCACAGUCUAAAUACAUGGGCCCAACGUGGCCCAAACUGUUUCAACAUAACCCCAAGCCCAAUCACUAAACCCAAUUAAACUACACCUAGCCCAACUACACCAAGCCCGACUAGCCUAAACCCUAGCCUGAAUACCCCUGGCCCAAAAUCGAUUUUUAUGUAUUUUGAAAUCUUUUCAAAGUUCCGACACUAAGACAUUAAACAAUUGAUUCGGUACCAAUUUUGGGCGGCACGAGGGUGCUAACCCUUCCUCAUACGUAACCGACUCCUGAACCUGUUUUCUCAAAAUUCGCAGACCUAAAAUUAUUUUCAAGGUGAUCCGAUCACAUCUCAAUAAAAGAUCAGUGGCAACUCCCGUUUUCAUUUUAAAAGUCGAACCCCGUUUUUCAAACUUAAAAAGGGUUUCGACAAUUAGCAUUGUAUCUAUGCAAUAAAUUUUAACGUAUUAAAAAAUUAAUGUCAAUAAAAUAUUAUCUAUGUUAUAGAUAGAUACGUCUUUACAAUUUGAUCUACGUAUUUCAUAUACACUUUAACUCAAACUUGAGUUGACAUUUAAUGCCUAAACUAAUUGUUAAGCUAAUGGAAAGGGUUGAUUGAUAUGAUACUAAUACUUUGCGGAUUGAAUUAAAACAUUUUUAAAAUUUAAAAUUGAAUUUACAAUCUGCAUAAUUUGAGAACAUUACGUCAUAGUUUAAUGUGUUUAUGGUAAAUUAGUCAAUAGUAUAAUAGUAAACAAGUUACGUUGCCUAGUCCUUGAUCAAACCUGACAUGCUCUAUUAUAAUAGUAAACAUUAACUUCUCUUUACUCAGUUUAAUUGUGGGAUUGUAAUUAUCAUUUAUGUUGGCCUUAAAUCGUAGGAUUAGAACUAUUUAAUUUGACUUGAUUAAUUUUCAAAAUUACAUGCUAUUUCGGUUUAAAAAUUAUUAUAAAUAUUAUAAAUAUUACGUCAUAGUUUAUGUGUUCAUGGCCAAUUAGUCAAUAGGAUAAUAGUAAACAAGUGACGUUGCUUAGUCCUUGAUGAAACCUGACGUGCUCUAUUAUAAAAAUCAAUGAAAAAGAUUAGUGGGAAGAACUGAGAAACAAAAGUCUUUGGGUCUGAAACAAAUGCAUGCACCGAUCUAACUUUCAGAUGCCUUAAAGAUUAUAUGGUUAGGACUUAAAAGAUCGUUAAAGAUUAUUUAUUAUUUGAAAACAGGUUUCUUGCAUUUAAUAUAUUAUUAAUAAAAUUUUAUUGAUUUUAAAUAUAUAUAAUUUUUAUUAAUUUUAAAAAUAGUUAUAUUUAUAUAAAAAGAAAAUAGUAUUGGGUUAAUUGAUUAAAUUGAAAAUUGGUGGUCUGUCUAAUUUUGUACAUACCCAAGAUAGAAAAUACAUAUCUUUAUUAGCUAAUUACUACUUCUUUUUUAAGGAACUAGUUACUACUUUUUAGACUUAUUUAAUAUGAAAAUCACAUUUAACAUUUAAUUAUGUUUUAAUUAAAUAAUUUAGUUCAGUUGGUCCAACUGAUUUAAUUUAUAUUUUAAUUGAGGCUGACCGGCCGAGGGAAGGACUGAAAUGAUAUAUUUCUAUAAUUCUAAAGUUCAACAGAGGAUAAAUAUUUACUUUGUAACACAUUUCUACACAUUUCAUCUUCUAAUAUUUUACAGGCAUCAACUUUGAAUAAGAGAAUCAAACAAAAAGACAAAUCAACAUUUCUUUUAAUCUAUUUGCAAUUCUCAUGCAAUGGGCCGCCCUACACCAAUCUUAUUGUAUAAUUGUUUCCUUGCAUAUAGGUUGUCUUUUUUGACUUAAACUCACCAGUAUAUUUUACCUAUAAAUACAUGCAACAAUUGCACUCUUAUCCUCACAGAUUCUGUGCCAAAUUUCAAGAGCAAACCAAAAAAGGCAGCAAAUUAAGCUUUUCAAUAUUUGCUUUUGAUCAAUCGAAAUGGCUUCACAAGUUUCUCAAAUGCCUUCUUCAUCACCCCUUUCUUCCAAUAAGGAUGAAAUGCGUCCCAAAGCCGAUUUUCAGCCUAGCAUUUGGGGAGAUCUCUUCCUCAAUUGCCCCGACAAGGUAUGCAUACAUAUGACCAUAUUGGUAUAUAUAUAAUCUUAACAGAUUAUUUGUUUAGUUAUUUAGUGAUUCAAUAUGAAGCAAAUUUUCAUUAUUUUGAGCAGAAUAUUGAUGCUGAAACUGAAAAACGCCACCAACAAUUGAAAGAAGAAGUGAGGAAGAUGAUUGUGGCACCAAUGGCUAAUUCAACCCAAAAGUUAGCCUUCAUUGAUUCAGUCCAAAGACUGGGUGUGAGUUACCAUUUCACCAAGGAGAUCGAAGAUGAACUAGAGAAUAUCUACCAUAACAACAAUGAUGCCGAGAACGACCUCUACACCACAUCCCUUCGAUUCCGACUACUCCGAGAGCAUGGAUUCAAUGUUUCAUGCGGUAAUUACUGGAACAACAACAUGGUAUUUUUAAGUUUCUUGAGUAUAUAAUAGCAUGGAAUGUUUGAUAACAAUAUUUCAUUUUGGGUAAUUUCAUCUCAGACGUAUUCAACAAGUUUAAAGACGAGCAAGGGAAUUUCAAGUCAUCCGUGACAAGCGAUGUUCGAGGAUUGUUGGAACUUUACCAAGCUUCCUAUUUGAGGGUUCAUGGGGAAGAUAUAUUGGAUGAAGCAAUUUCUUUCACCAGCAACCAUUUAAGCCUUGCAGUAGCAUCUUUGGACCAUCCUUUAUCCGAAGAGGUUUCUCAUGCUUUGAAACAAUCAAUUCGAAGAGGCUUGCCAAGGGUUGAGGCAAGACACUAUCUUUCAGUAUACCAAGAUAUUGAGUCCCAUAAUAAGGUUUUGUUGGAGUUUGCUAAGAUCGAUUUCAACAUGGUACAACUUUUGCAUAGAAAAGAGCUAAGUGAGAUUUCUAGGUAUGUUUUUGAAUCUCUUUCACCCAUUUUUUUUUCUUUUUUGUCUUUUUUUUUUUUUUUGGUGGAAGGAGGGUUGAAUUUAAUCGCGGCAUCAUUCUCAAUAUAGGAGACGAGUUGCAAAUGCUAAUAUUUGAAUCUUAAUAUAUAGCACAAGUUAAAAGUGAUGGAUUCAUCUUUUUCACUUACAUUAUUUUACUUAUAUUAUAUAAGUUAUAUAUAUAUUUUAAAAUUUGAGGUUGCCAAUUUACUUAAGAAUCUAACAAUUUACUUAUUGACAACAUGAAUGUGAAACAAAUUAAAACUUUGAAUAUUCAUUUUACUAAUGGGGUUUUCUAUGAUAUGAUUUUUUUAGGUGGUGGAAGGAUUUAGACUUUCAAAGAAAGUUGCCAUACGCAAGAGAUAGAGUGGUUGAAGGCUAUUUUUGGAUCUCAGGAGUGUACUUUGAGCCCCAAUAUUCUCUUGGUAGAAAGAUGUUGACAAAAGUGAUAGCAAUGGCAUCUAUUGUAGAUGAUACAUAUGACUCAUAUGCAACAUAUGAAGAGCUCAUUCCCUAUACAAAUGCAAUUGAGAGGUUAGAUUUCUAAAAUUUUGUUGGUAAUAGGUUAGGUUUCUUUAGUUGAAGUUAACAUUGAAGUUGAAUUCAGGUGGGAUAUCAAAUGCAUAGAUGAACUUCCUGAAUACAUGAAGCCGAGCUACAAGGCACUAUUAGAUGUUUAUGAAGAAAUGGAACAACUGGUGGCUGAGCAUGGGAGACAAUAUCGUGUCGAAUAUGCGAAAAAUGCGGUAUGUACAUCAACAAACAUUUAUUUUGUACAAAAGAGAUAAGAUCUUAGCUAAAUUCUAGAUUUGAAUAAACAACUAACUCGAAUAACAAUAUAUAAUCAUUUAAAUAUUAUUAUUGAAUUUGAAUUGAUAUUAGUGAUAAUUGUUGGGAUUUUGUCGCCUCAGAUGAUACGACUUGCUCAAUCUUAUCUUGUGGAGGCCAGAUGGACUCUUCAAAACUACAAACCAUCAUUCGAGGAGUUUAAGGCUAAUGCAUUGCCAACUUGUGGUUAUGCCAUGCUUGCUAUUACAUCUUUCGUCGGCAUGGGAGAUAUUGUAACACCAGAAACCUUUAAAUGGGCAGCCAAUGACCCUAAGAUCAUUCAAGCUUCCACAAUUAUUUGUAGGUUUAUGGAUGAUGUUGCUGAACACAAGGUAUAAUAAUAUAUUUAAAUAAUCACAAGAAACCAAACUAUUAACUCAAUAACGAUGGUUUUUGUCACGAUUUGAAACAAUUAAAGUUUAAUGUUUAUAUAUCAAAUGUUUAGCCUUAAAUCGAAGAAUAAGAAAAGAUAUCUAGUUUCAUUUUAAAAAUAUAUAUAGUUUAACAAACGAAUAGAAUUUAGGUUAUAUAGUGAUUGAAUAAUUUUUAUUUUAUUAUGGUUGCAGUUCAAACAUAGGAGAGAAGACGAUUGCUCAGCAAUUGAGUGUUACAUGGAAGAAUAUGGUGUAACAGCACAAGAGGCAUAUGAUGUAUUCAACAAGCAUGUUGAGAGUGCUUGGAAGGAUGUGAAUCAAGAGUUUCUGAAACCAACAGAAAUGCCAACAGAAGUUUUGAAUCGUAGCUUAAACCUUGCAAGGGUGAUGGAUGUACUCUACAGAGAAGGUGAUGGCUACACAUAUGUUGGAAAAGCGGCUAAGGGUGGAAUCACUUCAUUACUCAUUGAACCAAUUGCACUUUGAAAUCGUAUUAAAUUUUCCUCUUCUGUUCCUUAAGGAAUAGUUAUUAAGUUAUAAUUAAUAAUGUUUUAUAAUAUAUAUAUUAUAAAAGAAAUUCUAAAUCAACUGUCUUUGUAUUCAUUUCCCUGUAUUGAUCUAAUAAAGUUCUUUUCAAGCUUUCAUUUGUGAAAAAUCUGCUAUUUUAUAUUUUAUAUUUUAAUUUUCCUUCUUUCGUUGCUAUAGCUUUGAACACAAAAUUUAGAGUAUGAUCCUAUCAUGCUCUUCCUUUUUACCAACAUUGUUGUCACUUUCAAUGAUUUUUCUCUUCUUCGCCAUAACAUUAUCAUCAAGAUUGCAUGUGAUAAAGUUUUGCCAUUCAGAUAGCCUUUUCAAGGCUCGCCACUAGAAGCUCACUUAAAUAGGGAUACUUGUUAAUAAAAUAUGUUUGUUGUCCUUGUUUUUAGGCAUAUAUUUGCUGCACAUCAAGGAUUUAGUGGCUACAGAUCAUGGGUUUAUUUGGUUUAGAUUUUUUUUCCUUAGUUGUUAAGAGUCCUAUUCUGAGUCGUUUGUUGUUAGUGUGCGAUUUCUUGAUUUUUCUAUCAUGUAAUUGCCUAUAUAAUAGGUUCUUGAGGUUGUGAAUAAAUGAGUUGAUCAUCUUAUUUUCCCUUUCCUUUAUUUUUUUCAUCUUGCUGUUAUCUCCUUAGUAAGCUAAUAGUUGUGUCAGAGCCUGGUAAAAGAAGAGUAUUUUCGGUGAGAGAAAAAUGUUUAUGGUCCUCUUAUGGCUUUUGAAAAUUGUUUGCAACUACCUAUUCCACAUUUUGACGGUCACUAUGACCAUUGGAGAUGUUGAUGGAGAACUUAUUAUAGUCCAAGGAGUAUUGGCAAGUCAUUAAGCACGGUAUAGCAACACCAACAGAUGGAGAAAAGCUUACAGAAUACAACAAAAAAGACUUGAAGGGGCUGAAGUUCAAAGAUUUGAAAGCAAAGAAUUACUUAUUUCAAGCUGUUUCGAUCCUAGAAACCAUUCUUUGCAAAGAAACUUUCAAGGAUAUUUGGUACUCCAUUAAGACAAAAUGUCAAGGCUCUUCCAAAGUGAAGCGUGCAUAGCUUCAAGCUCUUUGGAAGGACCUUGAGGUUCUUCGGAUGGAGGAUGGUGAGUCCAUUAUAGACUAUUGUGCAUGAACCAUGGGAAUCAUGAGUAAUAUGUGAUUUCAUGGUGAGAAGAUGAAUGACACAACCAUUGUUAAGAAGAUACUACGGUCCUCAUCACCAAAGUAUGAUUAUGUUGUCUACUCAAUUGAAGAAUCCAAUGACAUUGAUGCACUCACCAUUGAUGAACUCCAGAGUUCCUUGUUGGUCCAUAAAUAGAAGAUGAAUAGAACUUCUACCCCCAAUGGAGCAGGCUUUGAAAGCUUCAACUCAUUCUUUCAAAAGAAGAAAUGGAGGUCAAGGAAAGGGAAGAGACAGAUGAGACAGUUGGAAUAAAAAUAGUGGCAGGUAUGCCAGAUCAGAUGAUAAAGGCAAACAACAAGAUCGACAAUUUGACAAGUCAAAGGUAGAAUGUUUUGGAUGUUAUAAGUUUGGUCAUUAUUGUUUUGAAUGUCGUACUAAUCUAUCAAUGAUAAGGAAAAGGGAGAAAAGUCAAAAUUUUCAUAAAAAGAAGCUAAAACCUUGUUAAUGGCAAUUCAUGACAAGCAAGAGAAGCCACAAAACUCAUGUUUAUGGUAUGUGGAUACAGGCUGUAGCAACCACAUGUGCGGUAAUAAGUUUUCUUUCUCUUAUCUAAAUGAAGACUUUCACAUUAAUGUGCCUUUUGGAGAUAAAUCUAUUGUUGAUGUAGUGGGAAAGGGUGGUAUUAGUAUAAGAACCAAUAAUAGUUUUGUAGAAACAAUGUCCCAUGUUUUCUUUGUGUCUGCUUUGAAAACUUAUUAAGUGCUGGUCAAUUGCAAGGAAAAAGAUAUGUGAUUACGGUAUCAAAAAGUGAUUGUGAAAUUUAUGAUCCUUCUAGAGGUGCUAUUGCAGUGGUUCCAAUGAGUUCCAACAGGUUGUUUCCAUUAGUGAUUGAUUGUUUUCAACCUUGCUUGAUGGCUAAAGUGAAGGACAACACAUGGCUUUGGCAUUUUUGAUGUGGUCAUCUUAAUUUUGAGGGUUUGAAGACUCUUUGGUAGAAAGAGAUGGUCAACGACCUCCCUCAGAUUGUCAUUCAAACCAUGUGUGUGAAGAUUGUGUUGUUAGCAGACAACAUCAUGAACAAUUUCCCAAAAUAAAGUUUUAGAUAGCAAAACAUGUGCAGGAAUUGGUCCAUUUAGAUAUCUGUGGACCAAUAAAACCAUAAUCUAAUGGAGGUAAAAUUUAUUUCUUUACUUUCAUCGAUGAUUAUUUCCAAAAAUUGUGGGUUUACUUUUUGCAGGAGAAAUCGGAAGCAUUUAGUGCAUUUACUAGCUUCAAGGCACUUGUUGAGAAUGAAAUCGGGAAAACCAUUCAAGUUCUUCGCAUUGAUUGUGGUGGAGAAUAUUGUUUCAAGGAAUUUGAAGCAUUUUGUGAGAGCCAUGACAUCUGGAAAAAGCUUACCACUGCAUAUACCUCCCAAAAAAAUAGCGUAUAAGAGAGGAAAAACAGAACCAUACUUAAUAUGGUGAAAAGCAUGCUUGCUAGUGGAAGGGUCUUAAAAUAAUUUUGGGCAAAAGGAGUAAAUUGGAGCAUCCAUGUCUUGAAUAGAAGCCCAACUUUUGCUGUUCAAAACAUGACACCUGAAGAAGCUUGGAGUGGAAGGAGACCAGCUGCAGAUCACUUCAAAAUUUUUGGUUGCAUUGCUUAUGCACAUGUUCCAAAUGUAAAGAGAAAGAAGCUUAAUGUCAAAGGAGAGAAGCGUGUCUUUCUAGGUGUAAGUGAAACAUCUGAAGUGUAUAAAUUGUUUAAUCCUUUAAAGGAGAAAAUUGUGAUUAGCAGGGAUGUAAUUUUUGAUGAGGAGAAUACUUGGAAUUGGGAUGACAAACAACCUUUUCAAACCUUUGUUGGUACUGAAGUUGAAGAUGAAAAGCAGUAGCCUUUAGAUUAGUAGACUCAAGCAACACUUAAGCUUAAGAGUUCACCAAAUAAUACUCUAAUAAGUAGUUGAACCUCAUCCUAGCUAUAUUUGACGGAGACCAGCUUGGAUAGGAGAUUUUUAGGUAAUCAGCGUUGGGCAGACUGAAGAUCCAACCAUCUAUUUUGCUUUAUUUGCGGAUUGUGAUCUAACAACCUUUGAAAGUGCUGUAAAUGAGUCAAAAUGGAGAAAAACAAUGGAUGAAAAAAUUGCAGUAUAGAGAGGAAUGAUACAUACAAGUUCACUAAACUUCCAAAAAGGCACAAGACAAUUAGUGUCAAAUAGGUGUACAAGACAAAGUUGAAGGAGAAUGGAGAAGUUAAUAAGUAUAAGGCACAUUUGUGGCUAAAGGUUAUAAAUAGGAGUUUGGGGUAGAUUACAAAGAAGCCUUUGCUCCUGUUCCAAGGCAUGAUACAAUCAGAUUGGUGAUUUCACUUAUAGUCUAAUACUCUUGGCCUAUCUUCCAACUAGAUAUGAAUUCGACAUUUUUACAUGGUGAGCUCAAAGAACAGGUUUUUAUUGAACAACAUACUGGUUAUGUUAAACAUGAAAGUGAAAAUAAAGUUUAUAAACUAAAAAAAGGCUUUAUAUGGGUUGAAACAAGCCCCACAUGCUUGGUAUAGUCGAAUUGAAGCUUAUUUCUUGAAAGCUGGUUUUCCCAAGUGUCCUUAUGAGUCUACUCUUUUCAUUAAAACUGGUGAUAAAAGGAAAAUACUUAUUGUGAGUUUAUAUGUUGAUGGUUUUAUUUUCAUUGGAAAUUGUAGUUCCAUGUUUAAUGGAUUCAAGAAGUCUGAUGGUUGAGUUUAAAAUGUCAGAUCUUAGUAUGAUGCAUUAUUUUCUAGGCAUAGAAGUAGUGCAAUCAACUAAUGGAAUAUUUUUUUCUCAAAGGAAAUACAUUCAAGAUAUUCUGAGCAAGUUUGACAUGAAGGAUUGCAAUCUAGCAAGCACCACCAUUGAGUUUGGCUUGAAGUUGAGCAAAGAAGGAAAGUAAGUGGACAACACUUUUUAUAAGCAGAUUGUAGGCAAUUUAAUGUACUUGAUUGGUACAAGACCUGACAUAAUAUAUUUUGUGAGUUUGAUCAGUAGGUUUAUGGAGAAUCCUACAGAGAUGCAUUUAUUGGUUACUAAGAGAAUCCUUCGUUACUUGCAAAGAACCAUAUAUUUUGGGUUGUUUUACAAAAAAGGAGAAUUUUAAUAUCUAUUUAGGUUCAUUGACUGUGACUGUAGGAGAUCUAGAUGAUAGAAAAAACACUUCAGUUUAUGUUUUCAUGAUGGGAAUCGGAGUUGUUUCAUGGUCAUCCAAGAGGCAAUCUAUUGUUCCUUUGUCAACAACUGAAGCUGAAUUUGUUGUUGCAACAACCUGUGCUUGUCAAGCUAUUUCGUUGAGAAAAAUCUUGGAGGAGCUGAAAUUCAAGAGAAUGGGAGCUACAAUAAUUUUUUGUGACAACAACUCAGUUAUCGGAUUCUCAAAAAAUCCAGUAUUACAUGGUAGAAGCAAGCAUAUUGAUGUGAAGUACUAUUUUUGAGAGAUCUUAACAAUGAUGGGGUAGUUGAUCUUAAAUGCUGCAAGAGUAAAGAUCAGCUGGAUGACAUAUUCACCAGACCUGGCAAAUUAUUUCCCUUAUUGUGAGUCCUAUUGUGAGCCUUAUUAUGUUAGUGCCUAAUUUCUUGAUUUUUCUGUUAUGUAAUUGCAUAUAUAAUAGGUUUUUGAUGUUGCGAAUAAAUGAACUGAUCAUCUUAUUUUCCCUUUCCUUUAUUUUUUUCAUAUUGCUGUUAUCUCUCUUAGUAAGCUAACAGCACCUUCACCUCUUUAAGCCCUACCAUUAUCAACUUGCCCUUUAGAAUCAGUGCUACAAAGCUCUCCUUUCAAACUCACCAAGAAGCUCCACCAACAAAAUGUCUACACCAUCAACAUCACCUCUCUAGGCAAGCCAAUGACAACACAUUACACCUUGCCCAAAAAUAUUAUCUCAUGGAAGGCCACUUUAUAAUCUCUUGCUCAAUUGCAAUAGAGGGGUGAUCCACCCAAGCACACUUACAUAAAAAUGGAACAAAUAAAAUCAAUUAUAUCAACAACGUAGGCACCACAUUAUCAUAAGCAUGAUGGUGUCAAAUUAUAAUAUAGUAGUUACAAUGGAACACUUACAUAAGUACUCCAAGGAUCAUUCUUCCACAUGGAUUGAUAAAGGAAGUCCAUAACCAAACAAACAAAUUUGGCCAUUACAAAUACAAUGAGGUAAACUUAAAUGAUCUUUGAAUAGUUAGGUGACCAAAGGGUAAACUUACUAGUUGUUGAGUGGCUAUAAGUGUAGUUUACCAAUUCUUUAAUGUUUAAGAUUACUUUUGUUUAAAUCUUACCUUUUUGCUUCAAAAUUAUUGGUGUUCUUGGUUGGUUGAAAAACUAGAGGAAUGGGAGGAAGGAGUGGAAAAGUGGAAAGAAAAUAAAAUUUAAUUGUACUUCGUAGGGAAUAAAAGUGAGAGAAAAGAAAAUAGGAGAGAUAAUCAUUUUUCAUCUUAAUGCAUAGAAAUCAAUCCUUCCAAAUUGGAAAGAUGAGAGGAGAGAAUAUUAUAAAGAUGUGUAUGUUAGUUUAAAAUUAUGCUAUUUUCUUUCAUUUCAUUUUUUAACUCUAUCAAACAAUAGAGGGAAAGAAAAUUACUUUGUUUUUCCACUUUUUCAUUUCUCCUAUCAAACACAACUACGGAAAGAAAAUUUAUGUUUUCCAUCCUUCUAAUUUUCAACCCCUUCAAUAUUCCAUCUUUCCAAUUUUCUUUCCACUCCAACAAGCAAAGCGAAAAUGUCUAGAGACAAAAUUGUUGACUUUUAUAAUUGUUAUAACAAACGUCGAUAAUGACAAUAGCAUGAUCGCAAAGUAUGAAAAAAAUAAGAACACACAGAUUUUACGUGGAAACCCUUUCGGGAAAAAACUACGGACAAAGGAGAAGAAAUUUACUAAUGUUGAAAAACGAAUAAUACAGGAGAAGUUUCGACUACAUCUAUUAAAAAGGUUAAAAAAUCCUAUUAUAAUCAAUAUCAAAUAGAAUAAAUAUAGUUCUUCAACAAGUGACGGGAUUUGGGUCACACAAACUCUAACAAUAAUUAAUGAAUUAAUUUAGUCUUUUACUUCAUAAUACAAUGACCCACAUUGUGAAAUUUCCAUUUCUGUUUUAGAAAAUUUCUAAAAAAAAGUUGUUUAGAAAUAAUCUUCUCAUGAGUUGUAAGUAAAAAAUCCAGUAAUAUUAUUAAAUAUUUAGUAAUAUUACAAGAAAUCUGUAUUCCUAAUAUAAGUAGCUUUGUAAAAGACUUAGUAAUUUACAUUGUAAGAAAUUCAAUAAUUUAUUGAAAAUGUUACAAUGUUGUAGCAAAUUCAGUAUUUUAAGUAGCCCACACUAAAUCUUUUUUAAAAUUACUGAAUUUAUAAUAAUUACUGAAUUACUUACAUGAUUACCAAAAAAAACUUCAACUAUUACUGAAUUCAUUAUGACAUUUUUUAUUUAUCUAAUUUCUUAAGGAAUUCUAUCAGUAAUUCAAUAAUUCUUUAAGAGUUUUAGUAAUUCAGUAUUUUUACGAAAUUUAGUAAUUUACGAAAUUAUGAAAAAUUAGGUAAACAUUAAAAUGUUUUAAGAUAUUCAAUAAUUGAUUUAGGUUAUUCAAUAUAUUUUAAUUUUAAUUUUAGUUUGGCCAUAAUAAGCACUUUUGUUCCUUGGGUUUGUGGGUUUGCUGCAAAUUAGAAAGGUUUCAUCAAUUUUUUAUUUAUUUCUCUAGGUUAUUAGAGUGAAUUCAAUAAUUAAUCCUCCACAUUCAAUAGGUCCAUUAAGGGGUAGAUGCGGACAACGAGUUUUAAAAUUACUCCAUACCCAGGAUAAUAAUUGAACAUUGGGCCACUGGUUAAGAUAGAAGAGACCCUUAACAUCUCAUUUAACUCCUGUGGCUAAAGGGUUCGUUAAUUUUAACAAUAUGUUUUAAGCUUCGUUAUGAGUUAACCCUUCACUCUCCUAGCUACAGAACUAAACUAAAGCAUCAACUUCUAGCUCCCCUUACCAUCAUGCAAUGGUCAUUUCGUGCUUUCAUAAAAUAAAAGUCCAUUUCAAAAGAGAGAAAUCUGAAUAAAAGAUUCAUCAUUAGCAAUAAAAAACAUGAAGAAAUUGAGAAGAAAACAAAAGAAAGAAAAGAGACAUGCCCAUUUCAGAAGGUGGAAAGCCUAAACUUUAGUUUAGAUUUUUAGGGAUUUCUAAGAAGUUUUUUUUUCGAAAAUCAAGCAAAGGAUUGGAUUUGAAAUUUUAGUUUUUUUUUCAUAUAUAUUUUAGUUUUUUUAAAAUUUUUAUAUCAUUUUUAUUUAAAAAUUUUUAGGAACUAUAAAAAAGAAAUAUAUAUAUAUAGUGAUUAGUUCUGCAAUUCAACUUAAAUUUUUCAUCUAACAUAAUUACUUAACAUGUUACGUUAGCUUACUGUUAUUUUAUUAAUGAUAAUUAAUAGCUCAAUAACUAGAUAUUACAAAUCGAUAACGUUAGUGACCAUUUUGUAACAAAUUAAAAUCCAAUGACUAAAAUGUAAUUUAAACCAUAGAUAAAUGAAUAUUUUUAUAAUUUAUCCUAUAUAAUAUUAUAUAUAUGUACCUCAAGAAAAAAAAAUAUCAUACAUAUGCACGCCAAACUAUAUAUAUAUUUAAUGUUAAGUUUCUAAUAUACAAUAUUUAUAAUAUUUAUAAAAAUUAAAUUUUAAGUUUAAAAAUUAUGAAAAAUUUUAAAAAUCUAAAAGUUUCAAACUACACCAACUGACCACAUGCUUGUUGGAAAUACUUAAAUUCAAUGCACAAUAAAAUACUAAAAAGAAAGGAGUUAAUAUAUGUUAACUUUGUUGAUGUGGUAUAUAUGUAAAUUACUAUGUGAAUGAAAUCUCAACAAUUAAAAUUUUUAAAUUUUAGAAAGUUUAACCAAAUAUAUAAAAAAAUAUUUUAAAAUUUAAAAUCAUUUUAAAAAUUUUAAAAAUAUAUUUUAAAAAUUUUAAAAAUUAAUUAAUUGUUAACGUGGCACAUACGUGGAUGCCAUAGUAAUAAAGUUAACAAACAUUAAUUUUUCCAUCCAGUUUGGGAUGAUUUGACAAACAAUGCAAAUUCAAGAGCUAAAAGAGACGAAAAAUUAAAUGAAGAACUAAAAUGACAUUUUAUAAAGUUGAAGGGCUAAAUAAAUUAUUAUGCUUUUUUAAUAACCGUUAUUUCUUUCUUUUUUUUAACAUGCCAAAUUUAAAAUAUGUAUAUUAAAUAUUUAAUUUUAUAUUGUGUGCGAAAUUAAUUGAUUUGGUUUAAUAUAAAUAAAAAUGUAAUACUUAAUUACUCAGUAUUAGAUAAGUUUACUAUCAAUUAGUAAAAAGUAAUUAUAAUAAGUGAAAGUUAUUUUUAGAAUUUAAAGUUUAUCCAAAUGAAUUAUUAAUGCCAUUAGUAGAACUACGAAUGCACAAUAAGGGAAGAAUAUAUCAAUUUUAUUGAUAAAUCUAGACGCCUUUAGUGAAAUUUGCUGAUUCCCUUUGAAUAUUGUUUUUAAAAUUAUGAGUUCCAAAUAUAAAAUUCUAGUAUUGACUGAAUCAUACAACUAUAGAAUUCAAUUUGAAAAAAAUAUGUUAAAUUAAUUGUGAAAAAUACCUUAUUUAAAGAGUCAAGCCGACAUUUUUUUUUUCUUUCUUUUUAUUAUUAUAAAUAUGAAGUAAACAAACACCUGUUAAAUAAUUAUAUUCAUGUUGAAAUUAAAGCGUCCGGUGAAUUUAAAAAUUCUUUUUAGAGGGCCUGAAAAUGAAUUAUAUAUCGUUUCGAUAGUAAAAAAGUAAUUUCAUCAUUUUAAUAGUUUAUAUCUUUAUAAUUUUUAAAGAAUUAAAUCAAAAUUUAUUAUUUUUAGGGUCAAAGUACAAUUUUAUCAUUACUAAUUUGAAAUUUUAUAAAUUAUAAAAAACUUUAAAUAGAAAAUUUUCCAUUUUAAGGGGAACCGAAAUUCCUCUGGCUCCGCCCGACACACAUCACAGUUGCACAUAAUUAAUUAAUAGAUUAAAUCUUAUUACAUGUUUCUCAUUUUUAUUUCUUAUUUCAACGAAUUCAUCGUCACUAAGAUUGACUAAUUUGUCCUUUACAAUGAUCCAAAAGACUUUUCAACACUCUCAGUCUAAGGGGUUCCUCCGGAGUCCGUAUAUUAUGUUUCAAGUCAAUAAUUUUACUGUUUUUUUAUGGAUGCUGAAAAUAUGAUCAAUGUGCCCCUUUUCCCCCCUUAAAUUAUCUCAUUAUGCUGAAAAUUAUGUUAAAUUAAUUGUGAAAAUAUGUUAUUGAAAUAGUCAAGCCUUUUUUUUAAUGCUUUUACUAUUAUAAUGGCAGUACACUUGCAAAUAUAAAUUCAUGUUUAAGGCAAAGAAUUGAAAACAAUUCAUCAUUAGAUAUUUAUGAGUUAAAAGUUGGGUUGAGUCGAGAUCUAGUUUAAAAUAUUUUUCAAGUUUAAGUCUAUUUUCGGGUUAAAAAUUAAUAAAAUAUUAAAAAUAAAUUUUUAAUUGUUAUUUUAUAUAAUUUUAGAAUUAAAUUUUAAUUUUAAAAUAUUUUUUAUUAUUUAAAUUGAAUUCAAGUCAGGCCGGUUCGAACUGCAAAAAUUCUUGUCCAAAUCUGAUCUAAAAACUAAACUCAAUUACCCAAAUUAUUUAAAUUAUUUAUACUAUGUUAAUUAGCAAUUUAAAAAAUUUGUAAAAGUUGAACGUCGACAAUAACAAUAUAGAACGAUUGCAAAGCAAAAGAAAGAAAAAAUAAGAACACGAAGAUUUUACGUGGAAACCCUUUCGGGAAAAAAAGACCAUGGGUAGAGGAAAAAAAAAUUCACUAAUGUCGAAUUCGAAAGAUACAAGAGGAGUUUAGACUACGUCUAUUUAUAGGUUGAAAAAUCUUAUUCUAAUCAAUGUCAAAUUAUUAAAGAGUAGUAAGGUUAAAAAACCUUAUUCUAAUCAAUGUAAAGUAAAAGAAGUAUAGUUUUAUAUGAAUUUUAUUUUAUUUUUAUUUUAACAAGGACUCAAGUCACUCAACUCUAACAAUCUCCACCUUGACAUGAAUUCUCAACGAACAAGUUCUUCACCACGAACUCUUAACGAACAAGUUCUCCACCUAUCCCACGAAACCCUUUAAAGGGUGUUCUUCAACAAUGAAUACCAGUCAAGUCCAAGCAAUACUCAAACUUCUUGGUUAUAGGAAGUGGCUUAGUCAUCAUAUCCGUAGGAUUUUCAUGAGUACUAACUUUGCUCACAACAAUAUCACCACAAGCAAUAAUAUCAUGCACAAAAUCAUACCGAACAUCAAUAUGAUUUGUUCUCUCAUGAAACAUUUGAUCCUUCGUAAAGAAGAUGACACUCUGACUAUCACAAAACACUGUAUUGAUCUGAAGGUCUUUACUGAGUUCACCAAAGAGUCUCUUUAACCAAAUAGUUUUUUUACAAGCCUCGGUAAUCGCCAUGUACUCAGCUUUAGUAGUAGACAAAGCAACUGUAGUUUGCAAAGUAGCUUUCCAACUGAUUGUGCAACCUCCAAUUGUAAAGACAUACCCUAUGAGAGAUCUUCUUUUAUCAAGGUCUCCAGCAAAAUCAGAAUCAACAUAUGUAAUGACUCCAUCCCUAGUUCUUCCAAACUAUAAGCAAACAUUAGUAGUACCUCAUAAGUAUAUGAAAAUCCACUAAACUAUUUUCCAGUAUUCUUUAUUGGGAUUCGCCAUGUAUCUACUAAUUGCACUAACUAUACAUGACAAAUCUGGACAUGAGCAAACCAUAGCAUACAUGAGAGAUCCCAUUGCACUAGAAUACUGAUUGCAAAGACAAAACCGAUGAAAGUCUAAAGUGGGUUGCUAAUAGGGUCCUAAUAGGCUUGGCAUUCUGCAUAUUGAACAUGCAAAGAACUUUUUCAAUGUACCAUUUCUAACUUAGGUACAAUUUACAUGCUUUUCUAUCUCUGAGAAUCUCCAUCUCAAGUAUCUUCUUUACUGCUCCCAAACCCUUUAUCUCAAAUUCUUUAUUAAGUUGGGCUUUGACCUUUCUUAUCUCUUAUUUAUCUUUGGCUGCUAUCAACAUGUCAUCAACAUAGAAGAGUAGAUACACAAAAGAACCAUCACUGUUUUUCUUAAAAUAAAAACAACUGUCAAAGUUGCUUCUUUUGAAAUCAUGAGGAGUCAUAAAAAAAUCGAACCUCUUGUACCACUGCCUUGGUGACUGUUUCAAGCCAUAAAUGGACUUUUUCAACAAGCAAACAUAGUCAUCCUUUUCUGAUACAGUAAAAUCUUCUGGUUAUUGCAUGUAAAUAUCUUCCUCAGAUUCCCCAUGCAAGAACGUUGUAUUUACAUCUAACUACUCAAGCUCCAAAUCAUACAUGGCCACAAUACCAAAUAAGGCUCGAAUCGAAGUAUGUUUCACAACUGGAGAAAACAUAUCUAUGAAGUAUACACUUGAAAUCUGACUAUAACCUUUUGCAAUCAGCCUUGCUUUAUACAUGGGUUCUUCAACUUCAGAGUUCCUUAUUUCUUUUUGAACACCCAUUUACAACGAACAACCUUUUUACCUUUAGGAAAUCUUACUAGAUCCCACGUUCUAUUCUUAUAGAGCGAUUCCACCUCUUCUAGCGUGGCAAUCAUCCAUUUUCUUAAAUCUUCACAAUUAAUUGCCUCAGAAUAAGUAGAUGGCUUUUGAUUUGCAUCUAUAUCUUUAGCCACAUUUAAAGCAUAAGCAACUAGGUCGACCUCAACGUACCUCUUUGGAGGUUUAAUUUCUCUUCUAGGUUUAUUCUUGGUAGUAGAAUAUUGUGGUGAAGAACAACUCUACUCUAAGUUUUUAUACUAACUUAAGUGUUGGAUCACCAGCACCCCUAUGGCGCAGCGAAAAAAAUUAAAAUCGGCGACCCUAACCAUGGAUCCAUGUGUGAAGAACGAAUCGGGGUGAAAAGAUUACGAAAUUACCUAAUAUUUCGAUUAAGAAGAUAGUAACUUCUCGACAAUGUGUAGUCUGAUUUACAGUCAAACCAAGCCGCAAUCUAUCGAGACUCCAACCUCUACGUAAUCCACCCAGUUGACUACGAACGGAAGAAAAUCCCCAAAACAGUUUUGAGAGUUAUAUUUUUUUACGGCUGCUAGACCUUAAAAUAAUGAAAAACGGGAUUCUAAUAUAUCUCUUUUAUUUUUAGGGUUUUUAGGAAUUAAAUAAAUAUAAUAAUAUUUUAAACCGAAAAUUUUAAUUACAUUAAUUAUAAUAUAAUUUCGGUAAACCAUAUAUUUAUUUAAAUUCAUAUGCUAAUCAAAUUCAUGUCCUCAUUAUGCGUACAACAACCUUGUACAUAAUGUGUUGGAAAUUUGAUUACUGAAUUAAAUUAAUUCUAUAAUUAAUUUAAUUCAAGUGACACCCAAAAAUAAAACCAACUAUGGUUUAUUCCGUUCAUUUCAACUAUAGUGUGUGACCUUGUAGGUUCUUGUAACGUUAGCAGUAAUACUAGAACGAUUCCAAUGUUACAAACAAUGAGUGGCAUCUAGCAAUGCAUCAUUCUACCUAAGUCACAAGAGAUCAUGAUUCGACAUAACCUUUUAUGAUUAACCUUUUAUGCAAUAAUCCUUAAGUCCUUUAUCUCUGGAUUGGACACAAGUCAUGGAAUAGUCACACUUGUAUAGUCCAUUCCAUGUUCCUUGAUAUCUUAAGCAGACUACGAUAUACACAUAAGUAUGACAUCUCAUAUCAACUUAUUUGAGCAUGGCCAUGCAUUUCUAGUCUCACUUAAUCAAGUGGCCUAAGAUAUUACUCCCAUUAUGUAGGAGGGACUUAUUCUAUAUCGACCAACCAUAUCCCUCUACAUCGAUUGUGAUAUAUCCAACAUCAGCCUUUAUAGAACAACCAGUUACGGUGUACGUUUAACUGUAUCAAAAUAUAUUACUCACGAUGUUGGGAUUAUGAUGAUCUCAAGUCUGAGGAUCAUAUACAUAUUAAUCACUAUGAGUAAUGUCGUGACAAUUACAUAAUAAUCCAAGAGANNNNNNNNNNNNNNNNNNNNNNNNNNNNNNNNNNNNNNNNNNNNNNNNNNNNNNNNNNNNNNNNNNNNNNNNNNNNNNNNNNNNNNNNNNNNNNNNNNNNAGUCCAAUAUGUUGUUCUCUAACACACAUAUUCAUGCAUCGAUUCUGACAUUCCAUAUCAAUGACAACUCUUUAUCAUCAAUCAACUACAUGUUAGUCUUAAUGCAUUAUCCUUGUCCUAUCCAACAAUAAUACUUGACUAAGGAUCUUUUAAGAAUAAUCAUAUUAUUCUUAGGACAUUAUUAUAAAACAGCUUAUUUAUACACACAGAAAAGAAACUGAAAUAAUAAUGGUAACGCCUUAUAUUAAUAAACAUGAUAAAUCAAGUAUGUUAUUACAAUCAUCUCAUGAUUGGUCUUUGGGCAUACUCUAACAUUAAGAAGUAGACUCUGUUAUAGAUCCUGGAUCAAUCUGAAGCUCCACCUGUUUUUCCUGGUUAUUAUUGGAAGAGUUUUUAAGAGAUAAGUUAGGUAGCAUAGCAGUUUCAUAAAAAAAUAAUAUCUCUGCUAAUCACAACUUUUCUAUUUUCAGGACACAAUAAUUUAUAUCCUUUAACACCAGCCUUAUAACCAAGAAAAAACACAUUUAAUGGAUCUAGGUUCUAAUUUCCCACUAUCAACAUGAGCAUACACAGGACACCCAAAAAUUCUCAAAUUAGAAUAAUCAGUAGGAUUACCAGACCAUACAUUUUGUGGAGUCUUUUUCUCAAUGGCAACGAACAGAGACUGGUUAAUCGAAAAACAUGCAGUACAGGCCACUUCAGCCCAAAAUGACUUCGGUAAACAAGCAUUCGAUAACAUACAUCAAACUUUUUCCAUGAUUAUUCUAUUCAUCCAUUGUGCAAUGCCGUUUUGCUGUGGAGUAUGACGAACUGUCAAGAGUCGCAUGAUUCCUUUUGAUUUGCGCAAUUUAAUAAACUCAUCAAAACAUAAUCCCAUGCCAUUAUCUAUACGGAGGUGUUUUAUCUAUUUUCCUGUCUAGUUAUUGAUCAUAGUUUUCCAAGCCUUAAACACAAAAAACACAUCACUUUUCUGCAAAAAUCAUCAAUGAUUGUUAUCAUAUAAUUAGCGUCACCCUUCGAAGGCACUCUGGAUGUUCCCCAAAGAUCAGAAUGAAUAUAAUCCAGCAUUCUCUUCAUGUUAUGGAUUCCUCUAGUGAAUCAAACUCUCUUUUGCUUCCUAAAAACGCAGUGCUCACAAAACUUUAGUUUGCUAAUGCCUUGUCCAUCAAAAAGUCUUCUUUUGCUUAAUUCUACCAUGCUAUUCUCACUCAUAUGCCCUAGACAUAUAUGUCAAAGUCUAGUAACAUAAUCAUCUAACAAGGAAGAGGAAGCGACGGCUGCAUCACCAGUAACAGUAAAACCUUGCAAAACAUAUAACUUGGCAAUCUUUCUCUGCCCUUUCAUCACAAUGAGGGAAUCCUUACUAAUCUUUAGAACUCCACUUUCAGCUGUGCACUUGUGCCCUUUUGAAUCAAGAGUACUCAACAAAAUCAAAUUCCUCUUCAAUCAUGGUAAAUGUCAUAUUCCACUAAGUGUUCUGAUGACUCUAUCGAACAUUUUAAUUUUGAUCGUGUCAAUACCUGUGAUUUUACAUGAAGCAUUAUUUCUCAUCAAAACAACACUUUCAGACACAAUUUCAUAGGUUGUAGACCAAUCUCGAUUUGGACUCAUAUGGAACGUACAAUCAGAAUCGGGGAUCCCCUCCUCGCUCACUUUAAAUUUGUUGGCAAAAAUAACUAGAAGUUCACCAUCACUGUAGUUUUCUGCUACAUCAGCUUCACCGGAUUGUUCUGGUUGUUUUCCCUUUUGAUUCACAAUCUCCCUUUUGAUCUUGUUUUACAACUUAUAGCACUUAGAUUUAAUGUGCCCUUUCAUCUUGCAAAAGUCACAGGUUUUACCUUUGUUUGAAGAUCUUGAUCUACCCUUAAAUUUGCUGCUAGGAUUUCGCUCUUAUGUCCUCUAACGAUUAUCAUCAGUAUUUUGUUCUUGUCUACCACGAACAGUGAGACCCUUUCCCUGAGAGUCGGAUCCAACUACAGGAUGUUUCAUCUUGUCAUACGAGGCUAAAGGAGCAUAGACUUCAUCAACUGUGAUAGAUUCACAACUAUACAAAAUCGUAUCUCUAAAGGUUGAAUAAGACGGGGUAACGAAUAAAGUAGAAUUAAACCUAAAUCUUCUUUGUCAUACUAAACCUCCAUGGCCUCUAGGUCAGAGAGAAUUUUUUUAAACACAGUUAAGUGUUCGUGUACAGACGCACCUUCCUCCAAAUGAUAAGCAUAAAGACGCUGGUUAUAUGCAACUUGCUAGUUAAGGUUUUCGACAUGUAUAAUUGUUGCAACUUUGCCCGUAAUGCACCGACGAUCUUCUCAUUCAUCACGCCCUGUAGAAUUUCAUUUGACAAAUGGAGAUGUAAUUGUGUUAAAACCUUUCGAUCUUUACGUUUCUUCUCCUCCUCUGUCAAUGUCGAAGGCAUCUUAUCUACCCCUAGCAAGGCAUCCUCUAACUCCAUUUGCGCAAGAACUGGCUGCAUCUUUAUCUGCCAUAGUGCGAACCAGGUGUUGUGAUCUAGUAGUGGAAUAUCAUACUUCAAUGUCGCCAUUACCAUGAUCGAGACAAACAACCCGAAAAGCUCUGAUACCAGUUUGUAAAAGUUGAACGUCGACAAUGACAAUAUAAAACAAUCACAAAUCAAAAGAAAGAAAAAUAAGAGAACACAGAUUUUACGCGGAAACCCUUUCGAGAAAAAAACCACGAGUAGAGGAGAAGAAAAUUCACUAAUGUCAAAUUCGAAUGAUACAAGAGAAAUUUAGACUAUAUCUAUUUAUAGGUUGAAAAACCUUAUUUUAAUCAAUGUCAAAUAGAUGAAGUGUAGUAAGGUUGAAAAACCUUUUUCUAAUUAAUGUAAAAUAAAAGAAGUAUAAUUCUAUAUGGAUUUUACUUUUAUUUUAAUUUACCACUGUAUUUUAUUUUAACAAGGAUUCGAACCACUCAACUCUAUAUAUAUUUAAAAUCAUUCAAAUUUGAAAAAAUAAAUUAAAAUUAAAAAUAUUUUGUUGAAAAUCUGAAAAUUAUUUUUAAAAAGUCCCCCUCAUCUUCUUCAUCUAAAAGAAUGAAGAUUUUCACUGUCAUUUUUUUAUUUACUUAAAACUCUCAGAUCGUAAAAGAUUACUUUUUGUGCAUCCAAAUGAAAAACCCUCAACCAUCCCUUGUAGAAAAGAGAAGACUUGAAGCAAAUGGCACAAAUUCGAUCCGUUUGCGCUUUAAUUUCUAGCGAAAAGUUGGCUAUGUAACAUCAUCAAAACCAACCCUAAUAAAAUUUCUAACAUAGACAUAUUUUUUUAUUUAACUGCGAUUUGUUAUUUAGAAAAUCAUGGUUAUAAUAAAAUUUUAAAAUCAAUUAAAAUUCAUUAAAAUAAUUUUUUAUCUACGAAAUCAAAAUCUAAAUUAGAAAUUAACUGUUAUGCAUGAAGAAGCUUAAUACUAUUUUUGGUCUUUGUACUAUAGUGAAAUUCUUAUUAUGGCCUUUUAUUAUUUUUUGGUCAGAUUGUUUUCUCUAUUUCCAUUUCGUCACUAAGUUCGCCCUUUUAGCAAGUUUCAUUAAAAAUAUUAAAUCCACGAAUGACUUGCUGUGCCACAUUUAAAAAAAUUAAAAAUUUUACUUAAAAAAUUAAAAAUCCAAAAUAUCUCAAAAAUAACAAAAAUUUGAAAACAUAGAAUUUUUUUUUAAAAUAUCCUAAUCUACUUUUGAAAAUUAUAAAAAUUAUUUUUUUACAAAAAAAUUAUUUAAAAAAAUAAGAACUCAUUUAAAUUCCACAAAAAUCAUAAUUUUUUUAAAAGAGUCCCAAAAAUCUUAAAACACAAAAAAAUUAUAAGAUCUUAAUCUAUUUCAAAUUCACUUAAAAUUUAAAAAAUAUAAAAAAACUAAAAUAAAUCAUUAAAAUUCCCCAAAAAAACAUAAUUUUUUUUAAAUCCAGAAAAAUCUUAAAAUUCUGAAAUUUUAAAAAAAAUCAAAAUAUUAAUCUAUUUCAAAUUCACUUAAAAUUUUAAAAAUAUAAAAAACUAAAAAAUAUUAAAAUUCCAAAAAUAUAUAUAUUAAAAAAACACCCCCAAAAAAUCUUAUAACUUUGAAAAUUAUAAAAUAAACUUUUAAAAAAUCUUAAUCUAUUUUUGAAAAUUAUAAAAAAGAAAACCUAAACUUAUAAGUAUGCAGAACUUCAAGAAAAUAAAAAAAUCAUAAAAAUAUAAAAAAUGUUUUUCUUUUUUGAAUUUAGGGUUUUAUAAAAAUAUAGAAUUUUAUGAAAAAUUUUAAGAAUUUUAUGGUAAUUUUUACUUAGGAUUUCCAAAAAAAAAAAAAAUCCCAUAAAUUUCUUCUAAAUUUUAAUAAAAUUCCAAAAUUUUAUAAAAACCUAAAAUUUUCUACAAACCUAAAAUUCCAAAAAGAAACUCAUUUUUUUUAACUUUUUUUCAAAGUUUCGCAUGCUUAUACUUUUUUUUUUCAAAAAAUAUAGUUUUGAAAAAUAUAUUAAGAUUUUUUUAGUUUUUUUAUUACUUUUCUAUGUUUUUAUAAAAGAACCAAAGUGAGAAUUUCAGAUAUUAAGCCAAAAGAUAUUACCUUUUAUUUGAGUUUAUUUAGAGUGAGAUUUCACCGUAUGCAAACAAAAGAGAAUUACAAUACAAAGCAGAUCCUCUCUUUUCCUCCUUUCUUUUUCCGUAGUUUUCUUCUUCUUCUUCUUCUUCUUCUUCUUCCUCUCUUGUAAACUUCUUUUCUUUCUCCUUUACAUGCUUCACUGUUCUCUUCACCUCUCUCUUUUUUCUUCUUACCUUUUUUUGCUUUUCCAUGCAAAAUGAGGCAGGAGGCCAUGCCACCCUUAAAUGUUAAUAACACUGACAAAUAACAUAAUAAUCUAAACUAAAAAAUUAAUAGUCAAAAUCCAAAAUAAAAUCGAGCUAUGAAAGUGUAGCAACAUUCAACUUAGAUUUUUCAAAUUAAACCUAACCCUAGAAUUCAGAUUUAUUGAAAGUGACUUUAAAAUUAAGUUUAGCCCGGAUAAAAAUAAUACCUAUAAUAUAAAUAAUAUUUUUUAAUUAUUUUUUAAUCAAAUUGAUGUUUGAUUAAUGGGUGAUACCGAUACAAAAAAUUUAAAUAGAAACAUAAAUUCUAAUUUAAAUGUUUUAAAAGAAAAUACUAAUUGUUCAAGACUGUAUUUAAUUCAGUUCGUUUUUCUUCGAUUUGUCCUUCUAUUAGAUGAAAAAAAAACUAAUAAAACGACUCGUAAAUUAAUACAUAUUAAUAUUUUUAUUUUUAUCGUGUUAUUGAAAACUAUGGGAUAUUUUACUUUUGAAUUUCAUAUAAAUAUUAAAUGUGCAUAUAAACUCUUCAAGGAUAAUUUAAUUAUUAUUUAAUAAGAAAAUUUUAAGGUAAUAAAAAUUGUAUGUGAGAGAACCCGAUGUGAUGGCUCGAGCUGAUGUGAGUUUCUUUAUUGGCCUAAUAAUAAAUUUAGUCUUCUAAUAUUUACACGUUCUACCCAAGUUUGGAAGUUACUGAUGAUGAUAUGUCCAAGUAAAAAAAAAGGCGAAAAAAAACAAAUUUUCUAUGUUUUGAAAGAUUUCGCAUUUCAUUGUUUCCUCUAUUUGAAUAUUAAGUAUUUGUACAUUUUUUAAAUAAGAAAAACAUGGAAAUAAUUAUUUUGUAAUUGUUUAAAGAAUUGUUAAUUUAUUUAGAGGAAUUGAUUCUUAGAUUAUAUGAUAUUAAUCUAAAAUAUGACACUAAAAUAGUUGGAUUUAAGCCAACUUGAUUUUUUACCAUAUUCAAAAAGGCGAUAUUAAUUUAAAAAGAGCACAAUACAAAUAGUGUUAAAUACUCUUCUUGUUUAGUAUAUUUUGGAGGUACGUUAAAGAAUAUUUAAAAAAAUUUAAAUACUUUCCAAUUUUCUAUUGAAAUUUUUAGAAUUAGAACUAAACUGACAAAUUCUGUGAUGGCUAAAUUUAUUGAUUUUUUUUAGAAUUCGAACUAAAAUGACAAAUUUUGUAAACAUUUAGGGCUAAUUUUGUUGAUUUUGUUUUAGAUUUAGGAUCAAACUGAUAGAAUGUGUAAAUAUUGGAGGCUAAAUUUGUUAUUAGAUCAAUAAAAAGGGCUUACCGAGCUUUUCAUCACUCAUCUAACAACAACUAACGAGAGAGUGACUAAAAUAUUUAAUUUCAAAAAAUUGAGUGGCAAAAUGGAAAAAAAAAUCAAUAGUCAGGUGACCAAAUAGAACCGAAGGCAUAAUUGGUGACUAUUGUUGUAGUUUACCCUUUUAGUAAUUAAAAUUAAUUUCUUUCAAUAAGUUCAAAUAAUAGAAAAUAAUUAUUUGAUAAUUAAAUGAAGAACUACAUUGGUAGUCACUCAACUAUUAGUAUUUUUUUUUGUCAUGCAACUAUGAAACUUUACAAAAAUGGUCAAUAAUUAUUCAACUUUUUUCUAUUUGGUCAACCAACUACCGGCCAUUAAUUUAUACAUUGUGUCAAUUUAGUCUUGAUUCAAAAAAAAUUAACCCUCAACAUUUACACAUUGUGUCAUUUUUUUUUGCAGUUUUACUUUUAUUUGUGACAUUGAGGGUUAAUUUUAAAAGAAUGAGAAAAUAUGAAAAUUAUUAUCUUGGAUUUUGGGUGUUUUCAUUUUUGAUAUAUUUCCGAUUAAAUUUAGUUGAUAGAUUGUUUUUCUUAGCUUAUUAGGUGAAAGGGUCACAAAGAAAAACAAAGAAAAAAUACCAAAUUACAUCAUGUGUAAACACUGAGGGUCACAAUGUAUAAAUGUUGAGUGCUAAAGUUGCUAUUAUGCCAAUUUUAAAAGUUAUACGUCACCUUUUAUUCAAUCAUUCAACGACUAGUGAAAACGAAAAAACCAAAUAGUUGAGUGACCACUUCGUAACUUUUCAUAAUUGGGUGGCUAAAAAAAGAAAAGUACUAAUAGUUGGAUGACUUGAAAUGUAAUUUACCCUUAAAUAAAACAAUGGAUAAUUUGUGAUUGGUGUCCCAAAAUUAUAAAAAAGAAACUAUAUUUGCUAUAAGAAAGGUUAUAUCAACUAGAUAGACUAUAGUGGACAUUAAAUGACGUACCAUAAAAAAUAAAAAGAAAAGAACAAACAACUUCAAAACCUAUAUAUAUAUAUAUAUACAUAUAUAUAUAUAUAUAUUAUUUAAAGGUUGUAUUCUUUUGACUUAAAAAGAAUAAUUGAGGCUAAAGAGAUUGCAAUGAUUUAAGCAUGUUAUUCAUGACUAUAAUGUUUUGGAAAAAUAUAUAAUAUUAUACUUUUUGUAAAAUCAUAAGGAGCGUUAAUGAUUGACAAGUAUCUUAUAAGAAUAUAGUAAAUUUUUUUAAAAAAUACACAUUAUAGUUUUUUAAGACUGUUUGUGAAAUUAAAAAAAAUACACUACUAAUGUACAAAAUACGUAUUGUCGAAACCGUUUUUUGAAAACAAAAAUUUUAGUUUCGACUUAAAAAUAAAAACAAAAACUGGAGUCGCCACCGAUCAUUUAUGAAGGUGUGAUCGGCCCACCUUAAAAAUAAUUUUGGUCUGCGAAAUUCGAGAAAACAGGCUCGGGAGUCAGUUACGCACGAGGAAGGAUUAGCACCCUCGUAACGCCCAAAAUUGGUACCAAAUUGAUUUUUUUUAAUGCCUUGGUGUCGAAAAUUUGAAAAGAUUUUAAAAGGAAACUUUUUAUUUCAUGAAUGGAUUAAAAUAAAAAGACAUUCGUAUUUCAAAGAAAUAAAACACCACACCCAGUGAGUUAGGGCACAAUGUUUUUAAAUCUUCAAAAUACCCGAAUAUUGCCUUUUGCUUUUGAAAAUUCUUAUUUCGAGAAGAAAAUGUCAUGACCAGUAAGUUAGGACCCAACAUUUCGAAUUCCCGAGAAUAAGUUUUUAUUUAAAAUUUGAAUUUAUUGCAAAACAAAUAUUUGGCUUUCUAAACUCAUCGAAAAAUAAUCGCGAUCCAAUAAGUUAGGACACGAUCUUUCACGAGAAUCAUGAAUACCAAAUAUUUUGGAAUUUAUAAAAUAAGAUGAUUUAAAUACUUUGAGAAAACAUAUAUUUUCUUUAAAAGCAAGAUAAAAUGUUAAUAUACAACAUGAUACACAUAUUUUAAUUUAAAUUAUAAAUGUGCAUGUAUUUACAAAAUAUAUAUAAGUGUAAUACACAAGUAAAUUUGAAAAUAUGUGCAUGCGUAUGUUUAACACACAUACACAAAUAUACAUAAAAAACAUGCAUAGCAUAACUUAUAAUAAUCUCCAAAAAUAUGUACGUAUAUUUCAUAAAACAUGCAUAUGUACAAAAAAAUAGAAAAAAAAAAUGCAUAUGCCUUGUAAAAUAUGAGAGUACAUACAUAUAUAUAUAUAUAUAUACAUAUUUAUUUAUAAAAACUAUGUAAACAAAAUAUAUAUAAAAUAUGAGCGUAUAAGGACUUCAAAGGAGAUUGGAUUGGUUACUUCAGUCUGCUCCACUGCAACUUCAGGGAGAUAAGACUUGUAUAUUCGAUCUACUUCACCACCAGUAUGGGAAGACAAGAUCUGUUUUCUUCGAUCUACUUCACGCCAAUACAUGAGGACAAGAUCUGUUUUUUCAAUCGAUUCCACUGCCGACCGGGGAGGUAGAAUUACUGGCUUCAAUAUACUCCGCUGCAACCUCAGGGAGGUAAAAUCCGCCAUCUUCGAUCUGCUCCACUACUGCUUAGGGAGAUAAGAUCUGUAAUCUUCAAUUUGCUCAACUGCAAUGUCGGGGAAACCAGAUCCGCCGUCGUGGCUUCAAUCUAUUCCACCGCACCGUUAGAGAAGUAAGAUUUGCCGUUGUGGCUUCAAUCUUUUUAAUUGCAAUAUCAGGGAAACCAAAUCCGCCGUCGUAGCUUCAAUCUGUUCCACUGCACUGCUAAGGAAGUAAGAUCCGCCGUUGUGGCUUCAAUCUUUUAAAUUGUAAUAUCAGGGAAACUAGAUCCGCCGUCGUAGCUUCAAUCUGUUCCGCUGCACUGCUAAGGAAGUAAAAUCCGCCGUUGUGGCUUCAAUCUUUUUACUUUUCAACCCGCUCCAUUGUUACUCACGGAGACAAGGCUUUAUGAUUUCACCGAUCUGCUCUCUGUGGAACAUGACCUGUAUGACUCACUUUAUGAGCCUAAUUAUGCCUAAUGAUUAGGAUGUCAUGAUCAGAAUGAAUCAAAUGCUCCUAACUAGGCGUGUAUAAAUGACAUUUGAAUAUUAUGUCAUGAAAAAUGAAUAUUGAAUGUGUAAAGUCAUUAUUGCUCAUUAAGGCUUCCUUCGUGGCAACAACGCUUCGUCAAAACUUGAAAAAUUUAAAAUCUCGACUCUUGGCUCCUAGAUAUCUCCGACCUUUUAACCCAGUGAAGGUCUAAACAAUAGUCCUGUUUCAGGUUCCUGAGUUAUUUAAAGAUUUCUAGAGUAAUAUGAAAAACUUCCCUUGUGAAAGUUUUACUAGUCCAUUAAUCGUCAUUCUAAUGCAACAUGCUUGCGAAAAGAUCAUAACGAUAACAUAAACAAAAUUAGUCUGGGAGGAUAGCUCGCAAUGGAUUGUCAAUGAUAGAGGAAUUGUCUGGGGACAUUUAUAUUGAAAAAAAAUGUCAUAAUUUAACAAUGAAUUCAAUACAAAUACUAUGAACAUGUGCCCCAGAUAUCUCUGCUUGAAUUUCUCUAUACAGCUUUCGAAGACCCUUUUGAAUUCAACACGUGUUUAGGAAAUUCACAGUAUUUUGUUGAUGCCCCAAGAUGUCGUCUAUUCCUUUCUGUCGAUUUAGGUACAGCAAGACUACCACGUGACAACCAAAAUUUGAGCCGCCCUUUUUGGGUUUUCAACUCAAAUCCCCUUUGGUCUUAAGGUGCCCUUUGCGGGUUUUCACCUUAGCCUCUCCUUUCCUUUUCUUUUCUUUUCUUUUUUUUUUUUGGAAUCAAAGCGCCCUUUGCGGGUUUUCACCUUGGUUACUUCCCUUCUUCAAGUAAAGUACCUCUUCACCGAAUCUGAAUUUACCGGAUUAGGCAAGUUUUUCCCGUCCAUUUCAGCCAGGAUCAGGGCUCCUCCAGAAAAGGCCUUUUUUACAACAUAAGGACCCUCCCAAUUCGGCAUCCAUUUCCCCUUAAAAUCCUUUUGUAGAGGAAGAAUUUUUCUCAACACCAGGUCCCCCUCGUGAAAUUCUCUGGGUCGGACUUUCUUGUUGUAGGCUCGCAUCAUUCUUUUCUGGUAUAUCUGACCGUGCUGAAUAGCCUUUAGCCUCUUUCCCUCUAUCAAGUUCAACUGAUCGUAUCGAGAUUGAACCCAAUCCGCUUCAUCCAAUUGUAGCUCAGACAAAACCCGGAGAGAAGGGACUUCAACUUCGAUGGGCAACACUGCCUCCAUGCCAUAAACUAAGGAGAAAGGCGUUGCCUCGGUGGAGGUCCUGGUUGACGUUCAAUAAACAAGGAGGGCAAACGGUAAUUUCUCGUGCCAGUCCAUGUAAGUCUCAGUCAACUUCCCUACAAUCUUCUUUAUAUUUUUAUUGGUCGCUUCUACUGCACCAUUCAUUUUCGGGCGAUACGGCGACGAAUUGUGAUGUCUGAUCUUGAAUUGACUGCAGACCUCUGCUAUUGAGCUGUUGUUCAAAUUCAACGUAUUGUCGGAUAUGAUUCUUUCAGGCAUUCCAUACCGACAUAUGAUCUCUCUCUUCAAGAACUUACUGACUGAUGACUUUGUAACAUUAGCAUACGAAGCAGCUUCUACCCAUUUGGUGAAGUAGUUAAUAACCACGAAUAUGAAAUGAUGCCCAUUUGAAGCCUUUGGCGAUAUUGGCCCGAUAACAUCCAUACCCCACAUGGAGAAAGGCCAUGGAGAAGUCAUGACAUGAAGAGGUGAAGGAGGUGCAUGCAUUUUAUCACCAUAGAUUUGACAUUUAUGGAACUUCUUGGAAUAAUUGAUGCAAUCCCCUUCCAUGGUAGACCAGUAGUACCCGAAUCUCAUAAUCUGCCUAGCCAUUGUGAACCCGCUGGCAUGCGUUCCGCAGAUGCCCUCAUGGACUUCUUCUAGAAUUUUCUUUGCUUCUACGGCGUCCACACAUCUUAGCAGUACCUGAUCUUUUCCCCUCUUGUACAAGAUCUCCCCAUCUAAGACGUAGUCAAUGGCUAGUCUUCUCAGAGUUCUCUUUUCAUUCUCCGUUGUCUGGCCAAGAUACUCACGAUUUUUUACAUACCGUAGUAUAUCUUGAUACCAAGGACUAUCAUCGAUUUCCCCUUCUUCAAUAUUGUAACAAUGAGCCGGGUCUUCAUAGAUACUCAUUUGGAUUGGUUUCAUAUCCCCAUUUCUGUUCAGUUUGAUCAUGGAAGCUAAGGUAGCUAGUGCAUCAGCCAUCUGGUUCUCAUCUCGUGGGAGAUAGCAAAAAGUGAUGUCCUCAAACUCCUUAAUCAAUUCGAGGACCAACUUUCGGUAACUGAUUAAUUUGGGAUCUCUCGUUUCCCAUUCACCCCUGAGCUGAUAUAUCACCAAUGCUGAAUCUCCAUAGACCUCUAGCACUUUGAUUCCUCGCUCUAUAGCUGCACGAAUACCCAUGAUGCAUGCUUCAUAUUCUGCCAUGUUAUUUGUACAAUCAAAAUCCAAUUUACAAGUGAAAGGAUAAUGAUCACCAUUUGGGGACACCAGGACUGCCCCAAUUCCAUUGCCUACAGCGUUCGAGGCUCCAUCAAAGUUUAGCUUCCAACUGUGACCUUCUUGGGGACUUUCUUCAGUAGCGGCUACACACAUCAGGUCCUCAUUUAGGAAAUCAAAACUCAACAGCUCGUAGUCCUCCAGAGCUCUACUAGCUAGAAAGUCAGCAAUUGCACUCCCUUUCACAGCCUUUUGGUUCACAUAGACAACAUCAAAUUCAGACAAUAAAAUUUGCCAUCGGGCCAUUCUCCCAUUCAAAGCAGCUGACUCCAUCAUAUACUUUAACGGGUCUAACUUUGAGAUCAGCCAAGUCGUAUGGUAUAACAUGUACUGCCUUAAUCUUCGGGUUGUCCAAAUCAAGGCACAGCAUAAUUUCUCAAAUAGGCGAAUAUCUCAUUUCACAGUCAGUGAAUUUCUUGCUGAGAUAAUAUAUCGCUCUUUCUUUCCUCCCCGUUUCAUCAUGUUGACCUAACACACACCCCAUGGAAUUGUCAAAUACCGUUAGAUACAAUAUCAGAGGCCUAUCCGGGUUAGGUGGUGACAGCACUGGAGUAUUAGACAAAUACUGUUUCACUUUGUUGAAAGCUUCCUCGCAUUCCUCAUCCCAAGUACCAGGAUUAUGUUUCUUCAGAAGACGAAAUAUAGGGUCACAUUUCUCAGUCAGUUGUGAAAUAAACCUAGCGAUGUAAUUCAGUCUUCCUAGGAAACCUCGAACUUCUUUCUGAAUGCGAGGUGAAGGUAAAUCUCGUAUUGCCUUGACUUUGUCUGGGUCAAUCUCGAUUCCCUUUUCACUGACUACAAAGCCUAGCAACUUUCCUGACCUGGCCCCAAAAGUGCACUUCGCUGGAUUAAGCUUGAGUUAGAACUUUCUCAAUCUUAAGAAUAACUUUCUCAAGACCCACACAUGUUCGCCCUCUGUUCUAGAUUUCGCGAUCAUAUCAUCAACAUAAACCUCGAUUUCCCUGUGCAUCAUGUCAUGGAACAAGGCUACCAUGGCUCUUUGGUAUGUCGCUCCUGCAUUCUUCAAUCCAAACGGCAUCACUUUGUAACAGAACGUCCCCCAUAACGUAAUGAAUGUAGUCUUCCUCAUGUCUUCAGGAUGCAUCUUUAUCUGAUUGUACCCAGAAAAACCAUCCAUGAAGGAAAACAGUGAAAAGCCCGCAGUAUUGUCUACCAAUGUGUCAAUGUGAGGCAAUGGGAAAUUAUCCUUUGGACUAGCCUUGUUCAAAUCCCGAUAAUCCACACACAUUCGUACUUUUCCAUCNNNNNNNNNNNNNNNNNNNNNNNNNNNNNNNNNNNNNNNNNNNNNNNNNNNNNNNNNNNNNNNNNNNNNNNNNNNNNNNNNNNNNNNNNNNNNNNNNNNNCUUGCAGAAACCCGGCAUCAAACUGCUUUUGGACCUCCUCCUUUUAUCUUCAACACGAUAUCAGGCCUCAUCCUUCUGAGUUUUUGCUGCACUGGCUUGCAAUCUUCUCUUAUAGGGAGACGAUGGACUACCAUGUCGGUACUCAACCCCGGCAUAUCCUGGUAUGACCAUGCAAACACGUCUUUGAACUCUCGGAGUAAUUCAAUGAGGUCCUGCCUUGUCCUUUCAGAGAUAACCGAUCUGAUCUUCACCUCUUUACCCUCCUCUAAGCUCACGACUUCUAUUGAUUCCCUGUGAGGUAGGAUUUAUUUCUCGGCCCUUUCUACCAUCUUUGACAAGUCAGGAGACAAACCACAGUCUUCGUUGUCUUCAAAAUUAUGCGAUCCCUCUAAACACAUGUUUCGUUCAAAAGGAGACUCUAAAUUUGUAAGAGUGACAUUCGCAUCAUUGAUAUCAUGGGACCUGUUAUAAGUAUGAAAAACAAUAUGGAUUCAGGAAUUUGUUUGGUGCAAUAUGGUCAUGAAUGAAAUGCAAGUGUAGUUUAAGAGAAACUUAAAAUAACUGCUCUUAUGGGAAGAAAGAUUUGCUCCAAAAAUGAUUGCAAACAUGAACUUUAUUAAAAUAACGAUUUUCUGGACAUGAGCCUAUUUCACAAAGGAAUCCUUAUCACUUCUAGGCUAAAAGGCAAUAAGGGUGUUCUGGACAUUACUCUGGGGAAAUCCUAAAAACUACAGGUAUUUCUUCUGCAGUCCAGUUGUUUAGCUCCCUUUCCGACUCGUAAGGACGAAUAUCUGGCAAAGCUCUUCCUCGCGUCACUUCUUCAUACACAACAUGAAUACUCUCUAGCUCCAUGUUAAUACUUCUGACCCCUAGCAUUCUUUGAUAGGUGAAUCCUCCCGGUACAAAAGUCUUGGAUAGGUGAGGAAAGGUCAUGGGUUCCCAUUUGACUUCAUCACCUGUCAAGCGAGCCCUUCUCCGCACUCGCUUAUUUUCCUGCUCUAUCCUCUUCUGCCUAGCAUCUGGCUUGUAUUCUAAGCCAAAACGAUCCUGCUUGUCUUUCAACACUAGAGCCUCAACUCGGCCCUGAAGAUAUCUCCCCAAUCCUCUUCUCGGUAAUGCUCCCUUUCCAACAGUCAACUGCAGACCCAUCUCUGUGGUCCUGGAUAUUCUCGGCAUCGGGAUCUUGUUUCCCUCACGGAUGAAUGUUGCAUUUACAAACUCCAAGGAACGAAAAGAGCAUUCGAUUGGAUCAUCGCUCGUUUCUAGAUAAGUCGCAUCGUUGGUCACAGAUGCAAUGAUAUCUUCUUCAGCAUCUAUCGUCACAACCCUGCCUUCUGACACCAGCUUCAGUUUUUGAUGUAACGAUGACGGUACCGCACCUGCUGAAUGAAUCCAUGGCCUUCCUAAUAGGCAACUGUAAGAAGGCUUGAUGUCCAUAACUAAGAAGUCCACCUCAUAAAUAGUUGGGCCAAUUAACAAGAGAAUGUCAACUCUUCCCAUGACCCUCCUCUCAGUACCAUCGAAUGCUCGAACCACGUUCUGACACGACUUCAUAUGCGAACUAUCCACAGGUAGCCUGUUGAGCGUGGAUAGGGGAAAUACAUUUAAUGCCGAUCCAUUGUCUACCAGAACCCCCGGUAAUAUGCACCCUUUACACCUUGCAAUGAUGUGUAAAGCUCUAGUGGAUCCCAUACCCCCAGGUGGUAUUUCGUCAUCGCUGAAAGAGAUGAAGUUAUCAGCGCUUAUAUUACCGACCAGUCGAUCCAACUUGUUAAUAGAGAUAUCAUCGGCCACAUAAGUUUCAUUUAGCACCUUCAGUAGUGCAUUCUGAUGUCCCUCCGAGUUCAGGAGUAAAGCUAGCACAGAUAUGCGAGCUGGUUGUUUGUGCAGCUGUUCCACAACGCUGUACUCGCUAUGUUUUAUGAACUUCAAGAACUCUCUAGCUUCCUCCUCCUUGAUUGGUUCAUUGACCACCAAUUCAGGUUCGACCGUCUUCUUCUUCUUUCCAAUCAGAGUUUCUUCUCUUAUUGGCUCUACUCGAGCCUUCACCUGUUCGUUAUACCCUCCUUCAUCAUGGUCCUCCUUCCCUGGGAUUGUCACAUUACAAUUGUAAUGCCAAGGAACCCUCCUGUUAUCCUUGUAAGUAAACGCAGUCGGUUUUUGAAUGAUAACCCUUGGUGCUACUCGUGCUCCAGCCUCACUAUUCUUAGGUUGUGAGAUGAUGACCACAGGAUGGUUAACCUUUGGAACUCCCAAUGCCAACUCUGACGUACAUACAUGACUCUCUUUCUGAAUUCCUUCCCAAAAUUCCAUCUCUUUAUUAUCUAUCAUACCCUGUACCACGGCUCUGAACUCCGUACACUCCUGGAUUUCAUGCCCCAUUUCACAGUGGAACUCACAGUAGUUCCUCCUCUUCUCACAGCUUUCUUCUGAAGGAAUUAGCCCCCUUUUCACCAUCUCUUUCCAGACCCAUCUCAAAGGAGUCUUCACGUCCGCAAUGUCUACCUUAAUUCUCAUGUCUUCGUCCAUCAUAUUUACCCCACCAUCAGUGUGAUUUGGUAAUGGGUUCUCUGCCUUGGUGGCUUCAUCAAAUUUAACGACACCCAUACCAAUGAGCCUUUCAACCAGCUUCUUGAAGGCCGUACAGUUUUCUAUGGAGUGCCCCGUGAUUCCCGCAUGAUAGUCGCACUGUGCAUUUGCGUCGUACCAUUUGGGGGACGGGGGCUGUAAGGGCUUCAGAUAGAAAGGGGAAACUACAUGUGCGUCGAAUAAGUUUCGGUAUAAUUCCCUGUACGACAUGGGAAUUGGCGUGAAUUGGGGCCUCUCCGUAUUUCGCCUUGUACCGACCUUCUGUCUCGACAAGCUUUGUUGAUUGGCAGCCGUCUUUCCUGGCUGACUCACUGUUACUGACUUCGAGUAACCCUUGUUGUACAUGCUCACGUUGUUCACCUCGUUUUCCUUCCUUUUCGAAGCUGAUCUUCUGUUACUCUCUCCAGCAUCGAUCUUCCCACUCCUGAUGGUGUUCUCAAUCAUCUCGCCAUUCAUGACUAUGUCAGGAAAGCUUUUUGUGGCACUUCCUAACAUAUGUGUAAUGAACGGUGCCUUCAGGGUGUUAAUGAACAACAUGGUCAUUUCCUUUUCCAAGAGCGGUGGUUGAACUUGGACCGCGACCUCCCUCCAUCUCUGUGCGUACUGCCUAAAGCUUUCGCUCGGCUUCUUCUCCAUGUUUUGAAGGGUGAUCUUAUCAGGAGUCAUGUCUGUCACAUGACUAUAUUGUUUCAUGAAUGCUUGCGCCAAGUCCCUCCAUGAACCAAUCGUAGCUCGACUCAACUGAUUGUACCACUUGGAUGCUGCCCCUGCAAGGCUGUCUUGGAAGUAAUGUAUUAAUAGCUGGUCAUUACUAACGUAUCCAGCCAUUCGCCUGCAGAACAUGGUGAUAUGAGCCUCUGGGCAAGUCGUCCCAUUGUACUUCUCGAAUUCAGGCAUCUUAAACUUAUGAGGGAGAACAAGAUCCCGCACUAAACUCAGCUCUUUUGCGUCAAUGCCUCGAUAGCUUUCAGUAACUUCCAUCGCCUUGAACUUCUCCUCAAGCCACUUGCAUCUCUCUUCCAACUGUCUCGGUAACUCCUCCUUCACUCUUUCCUUCUCAACUACUUCAUCAAAGUCAGGAAUGGCAGAGUUAAUAGGAUUAUUUUCGGGAUUAAAACACGGCCCAGUUUGGAGGUUCGAAACACCAGCUUGAAAUUGCUGAGGCAUGAUUGUGACAGUAGAUUUGCGCGGGUAUUCAUCUUGAGUUCGCUCAUGUGGAGGGGUGAAACCUGGAGGAUAGAAAAGUUCAUCAUCAUUUCCCUCAUCGACAUCUGCCAUGGGGCCCUUUCCUUUGUCACCUCCCUUAGUUAUCAGUCGGGUUAACUUUGCCACUAUAUCCUCUUGAGAUUCCCGCAUCUUCUCAGACAUUUCUUGUUUCAUCUUGUCUAACCGCUCCUGCAUUUGUAGCUGAAUCCAGUCUUGCAUCUCCUUCUGGUACUGUUCGAGCUUUUCUAAUCUCUGAUCCAUAUCUCUUGUCUUUGUUCGAGUGCCGUAUCGGUGUUGGAUUGGUUGGUUGGUUUCCAGGUUAACUGAGCAAUAAUUUUAAUUAAUUAGGAUCAAUUCAAAGUUUUGAAUGCAUAUGAUGCGAUGCAUGAGAUGAAUGCAAGAAAGGCGUUAAUUAUGAUUCAAUUCCACUUGGAAAACUUUAUUAGAAAACAAAUCUCUUUACAUAGAAUAGACUACAAAUACGACUUCGCCCUAAUACUUAAGACCUUGAUUUUUUGAAGCAACGAGGCUAACUCCCGUCCCCGGUCUGACUCCAAUUCAUACUUUACGCUCAACGUGUCAGCUUGUACUGCCAGAGUUUGUAAGUGAUCAGCUACUUCUCGAAUCUGAACCAAGGCUUGUCCCAUAACACGAUCCCUGCUUCUGACCUAAUUCUGGAGAUAGUGAAGCUGUUCGCUUUGAUGAUCUUUGUUUGCCUCCAAAUACUCAAUCCUGGCUUCACAGUUCUGCAAUGCCACCUCUAGUUCUUCUAUAGUUUUCUUCAUUUGCUCGAUUCUACUUAAACUUGCUUGCAGUUCCACCACUGAAUUACGAUUUCGGUAUUGAUGAACAAUCUUCUCAAGUUCGGCCACUCUAGCCCUUAGUUUAUCCCUUUCAUCUUGAUUUUCUGACAAACUCUUCUCAAGCGAUCUAUUUUGCAUCUGGGCUUCUUGGAAUCUUUCUUCCCAUCUGCCAGCCUUGGCUUUUUCUUCUUGAACCUCUUGACGCCACUGCUCUGAGGUUUUUCCCAACCCAGCAGUUCUUACUGACAGACGUAGUCUCUUAUAAUCCGUCUUCAAGCUGUUCAAAUCUUCCUCGACUUUGCGCUUCCCUUUUCUCAGGCCUUCGGUUUCCUGCAUUUGAACAUCUAUGUCCAACUUUAAAUUCACCUUUUCCUCCUCCAUUUUCUCUAUUUUCUUCUCUAAUUCUGCAUUCCUUCUUUCGAGGUCUUAAUUUAUGAUUUCCAGCUCAGAAGGGACGACGCACAAAUGCUCCUCUAUCGACUGACUAUUUUCUGAACUUGGCCCGGGAAUGUUGUCAUUAAUCCUCCUAACACGCCAUUCGUUAUAUUCAGAAGUUGUCAUUGGACCCACGGCUAAUCUCUUCAUUCGGCGAGUCUGAUUCCACGCAUUGGCCAUCUCACGAGCCUUCCUUUUGUAGCCAUCAUCCUUAUAUGAGAAUUCACACUCAGCUAGUCCUUGAGUGGCAGGCACAAACUGUCUUGACCUGUACUGUCUUAACACUAGCAAUGGGGCAUAACCAACAGCUCCCCAAAUCCCGAGCAACGGAACCCAGUCGAAAUCGCCACACCUAUAUAGGAUCUCAUCUGGAAGCAACCACGGAGCUCUCCACUCGAUAUCUUCUUCUUGCAGAUUCUGAAAGAUUGCCAUCCAUUUCUCCUCUGUAAUAUCAUCUCUCCUUGAUGCAGCCACUAUCUCUUUCAACGGUGAAUAACUUUCAGAGAAGACCUGAUAUGAAACCUUAUCAACCUUCCAAAAGUGGCUAUGGAACCACCCAAGUAAUAACUGCGCACAUCUAAAAAAUCUGCCCUCUCCCGUUCUUCGGCAUGCAUUUAAUGACCUAAAGGUUUCUGCCAAAAUCACCGGAACUGGCGUAACUCCCUUGUCAAGCCGGUCGAAUAAAUCAGUGACCGCCUAAUCAACAUGUCCCAAAAUCUUAGGAAACAAGAUUAGACCAUAUAUACUUAGAGCAAAGACGUCCACUUUCUUCCUCGCAUCUGGGUGUGCUAAAAUGAGGUCCUUCAAGUUUUUCCAAGGAAUACACCUACUAUCCCCUUUUUGCUUAAUCCGAGCUGUAACCCACUACUCAUUUAUCCCUGUUAUACUCAUCAACUUCCUCAAGAAGGUUGGUACAUUCACCGCUUUCGAAUAAAUUCUAUCCACCUGUACCUUCGAACACCGAAGUAAAGCCGUGUACUCCUCUAUUGUAGGCACUAGGUCAACCUUUCCGAAUGUGAAGCAACUGUACGCCGGAUUCCAAAACUGGGCAAGAGCUCGAAACAGACGGUUGUCUACCUUCAUGUCAAGUAAAUAAGGUAAAUCCCCAUAAUUUGAAUAGAAUAGCUGUCUAACCUCAUUAUCCCAUUGAUCCCAAAUCUCCUUCAAUUCCUGCAAGUUGUUCUGAGCUACGCUAACACGAGUGAAGUCCCAUAACUCUGAUACGUAUCCCACGGCCAAACUAUCACCUUUUUCAUGCUGUAUCUUCUCAGACCAAGUCCGGACAGCCGUAUUGUCUUCCACUCUAUCAAGAAACCCAUUUCCCAUGAUAAACUUUCUAUAUGGCAACCGAAUAUGAACCAACGCCUUUAUAAUGAAAUGUCAUGCAAUUAUGAUGUCAUGCAAUCAAAACAAAAGAAACCCAAGUUAGUAUCACAUAUAAAAAUAUAAUCCAAACAAGAACACUUAUUUAGGAAUCUACUAGGGUUCAGUAUAGUUCUCCCUAGGGCAAGUUCCUAAAGCUCACUAUAUGAGGUUUAGUUUCUAGAGUAAGGGUACCCGAACCAACAGAUUCCUCGAUCCUCACCCAUUAUAGGCUCAUACAGAUCGAGUUCAGUUCAGGGGGACACAUUUCCCUAUGGCUGCACGGAGAUGAAAAUCUCACGAAGACAUAGGUACGAAUGUAUCCCGGAAGCAGUCCACUAUCCUGCACGGAGGUGAAAACCUCACGAAGGACUAGUUUCUCGCUCCCACUUAAGGGUAAAAUGCAAAAUGCAAAUGCAAAGUUGCCAAAGUUCCAUGAUAAAAUAUCAAUGAGUGCAAAGGGAAAAUUUUUAAAAACUUUUUGAUUUUCGACACAAAAACAAAUAUGAUCAGUUUAUGGCUCGACUCUCUAUGUCCCCAGCGGAGUCGCCAAGCUGUCGAAACCGUUUUUUGAAAACAAAAAUUUUAGUUGUCGACUUAAAAAAAACAAAAACUGGAGUCGCCACCGAUCCUUUAUUAAGGUGUGAUCGGCCCACCUUAAAAAUAAUUUUGGUCUGCGAAAUUCGAGAAAAUAGGCUCGGGAGUCAGUUACGCACGAGGAAGGAUUAGCACCCUCGUAACGCCCAAAAUUGGUACCAAAUUGAUUUUUUUUAAUGCCUUGGUGUCGAAAAUUUGAAAAGAUUUUAAAAGGAAACUUUUUAUUUCAUGAAUGGAUUAAAAUAAAAAGACAUUCGUAUUUCAAAGAAAUAAAACACCACACCCAGUGAGUUAGGGCACAAUGUUUUUAAAUCUUCAAAAUACCCGAAUAUUGCCUUUUGCUUUUGAAAAUUCUUAUUUCGAGAAGAAAAUGUCAUGACCAGUAAGUUAGGACCCAACAUUUCGAAUUCCCGAGAAUAAGUUUUUAUUUAAAAUUUGAAUUUAUUGCAAAACAAAUAUUUGGCUUUCUAAACUCAUCGAAAAAUAAUCGCGAUCCAAUAAGUUAGGACACGAUCUUUCACGAGAAUCAUGAAUACUAAAUAUUUUGGAAUUUAUAAAAUAAGAUGAUUUAAAUACUUUGAGAAAACAUAUAUUUUCUUUNNNNNNNNNNNNNNNNNNNNNNNNNNNNNNNNNNNNNNNNNNNNNNNNNNNNNNNNNNNNNNNNNNNNNNNNNNNNNNNNNNNNNNNNNNNNNNNNNNNNCACAAGUAAAUUUGAAAAUAUGUGCAUGCGUAUGUUUAACACACAUACACAAAUAUACAUAAAAAACAUGCAUAGCAUAACUUAUAAUAAUCUCCAAAAAUAUGUACGUAUAUUUCAUAAAACAUGCAUAUGUACAAAAAAAAUAGAAAAAAAAUGCAUAUGCCUUGUAAAAUAUGAGAGUACAUACAUAUAUAUAUAUAUAUAUACAUAUUUAUUUAUAAAAACUAUGUAAACAAAAUAUAUAUAAAAUAUGAGCGUAUAAGGACUAAAAUAUGUAUGUAAGCAUAUAUAUAUAUAUGAACGUAAAACUAUGAGAAUAAAAUAUAAAAACGUGUGGAUGUGUACAUGUUUAAAAAAAUGUAUAAACACAUAUAUAUAAAAUAUAAGGUAUAAAAAUAUAAAGGAUAAAAGAUAGAAUAAAGGAAAUAAAAUGUAUGUAAAACGUAUGCAUGCAUUUUAAAGCUUAAGGAUGUAUAUAUGCUAGAAAUGAAAACAUGAAAAGUGAAUAAUAAAAGUUAUACGUUUGUAAAAAACGAAAUAUAAAACAAUAUGUAUAUACACGUACAUGAAAAUCAUAAAUGGAAUUAGUGUAAUAAUAAUAGUAAUAAUAAACGUGUAACAGUAUAUUAAAAAAAGAAAAAAAACUAAAUAAAGUAAAGAAAAGACCAAAUUGAAUAAAAAAACCAAAAAAAUAGGGGCAAAUUCGAAAAUAAUAAAAAAGGGAUGAAUUCGAACACGCGAGCGGCAAUGGGGGACCAAAAGAGCAAUUUACCCAGGCCUCCAAAACGCUGCGCUGAAGGGGACUGAAUUGAAACGUGAAUUGAAUAUGCGGCCCAAUUUUAAAACAAAAAAAAAGAUUUAAUUGACAUGCGCUGCAAAAGGGAGGGGUCAAAUGCACAAAUAACCCAUAUGACGUUAGAACGCGCGGAUCCUCCCCUCCGGGUCGGGUCACCGCGCGAGUCACACUUGACCAAAACGACGCCGUUUUGAAUGUUGUUUAAAACAAAAAUUUUCCUUCCAAAAAAAUCCAUUUGAAAUCGAAUGGGAAAAAAAAAAAGAAACUCCGGCGCUCUGCUAGGGUUCAAUCCCUAGCGUCCUUGCGCCGCCACUCAAUCGGCCCUCUCACCAAACUCCGAUCACGACAGAGAUGGCGGUGGCACGGCGUUUUUAGGUAUGUUUUCCUCCCUUUUUGUUAUUUCAAAUGAAAUAAAAUGAAAAUAAAGAAAAAAAUGUAAAAACGAUAAACACUUUUAACAAUAAAAAAGAAAUCACCUUUAAAACAAAACAAGUUUUUUUCUGCUUUUAUUCCCGAUUCUCUCCGUCAAAAAUCCGUCCUUUUUACAGAUAAAAGUCGGCCUUUUAUAGCCUGAAAACCUAUUUGUUUUACACUAUAUUUUCGCUAAUGGACUCUCUGAAUCCGUGUUUGCAGGUGCGUGGAGAGUGGAGGCCGAAACGUGCGGAGGCUGCAGGAGGCUGUUGCGGCGCUGGGCAUGGGCUGCUGAGGCUUGCGGCGCUGAAGCAGAGAGGCUCUAGGGUUUCUGCUUUCAACGUUUUUGGUGUAUUGGGCUUGAACGGCCCAUUUUUGUUUUGUAAAUGGUCUGGGCCAAUUGGGCCUUAUUACACGUAUUAUAUAUAUAUAUAUAUAUAUAUAUAUUAUAAACCAAUGGCUAAAAAUUUUUCUAAUCCUUCUAGCUUUCUUUAUAUGAGAGUCGUUAAAUUUUAGUUUUGAUUCGUAUACUUUGCUCAAAUUUUAAAUUUAAUCUAUAUACUUUAAUUUUUCAUAAUUUAAUUUCUCAUCCUUUUUAAUAUCAUUAGUUAAUUUAAAUAUUUUAUUCCAAAAACUUGAAAUAUAAUAAUUUAAUUAAAAGAAUAAAUAAUCAACACGAAGCAUGGGUGAGAAUCAUAAAUCAUGCAUGACUUCUAUCAUUAAGUAUCCUUAGCAGUCUUUUUAAGCUGUUAUUAUUAUAUUAUUAUUUUAUUCGUGCAUUGAAAUUAAAUCAAAUCCGAAUAUAAUACGUAAUUUCUUUUUGACCGGUCCAAGAUUAAGUUUAAUAAAAUCUAUUUGCUGUAUAUUUAUUAUUAAGAAACAUUGGUCUUAGUACGUCUCCUUUAGAAUAUUUACACUUAAUUCGCAUUAAAUAUAAAAUAUGAUUAUAAUUAUUUAAAUUCUUUUGUUUGGAAAGGAUAAAAUAUGAAUAUUUACACUUGAAAAGUAUUUUGUUUAAUAGGUUGGUUUGUCUUAAUUUUGAAUAUGGAAAUUAAGUUAUCUUGGAAAAGGAAGUUACAUGAGAGAAAAACUUGUUAAUCCUUAGAAUUUUCAGCAUUUUUAUAGUAAUUUUGAAAUGGUUAAUAUUAUUGUUGAGUAUGACUUAUAGUUAAAUUUAAGAGAUAAUCUCUUAGUUAAACUCUGUUUAUUUGUUUCAGUUAAAUUUUGAUUAGUCUAGAUUAUUUUAUUAUUAUUUGACCUACGAAUUUAGCCUAUAAAUAGGAUCUUUUACAACAUUAUAAAAAACACCCAUUAAAAUAUUAGAACUCAUAACACUUUUGGAGAAUUUUGUAUUUACAUUUUGAGGGUUCUUUUUUUUAGGUUUCGGGGUUUAGUUUUUAUCUUCAUCUUUUGUAAUUUUUAUUUUUUUGUCAUUAUAGUAAAAUUAUCUUUAUCCGUGGUUUUUUAUCCUCUUUGGAGGGGUUUUUUUCACGUUAAAUUUGUGUGUUCAAUUUCUCAAUUGCUUCCGCUAUUUUUUACUUGUUUGUUGCUUAAUCGGAUCAAUUCCCAACAAUCAUCAUAUAAUAUUUUUUAUAUGUUGCUAGUGAAUUGAGGACAUAUUUCUAAAAUUUAAAUGAAUUUUUUCUUUUGUAUUCUUUAUAUUCAUUUUACGGUAAUGCAUCACAUAUAAAUCCAUUUUAAAUUGAAAUCCAUGUUUUAUCAUUUACAUUAUCUUAUAUUAUUUUGAGCUAAUUCAAUCAAUUGUCUCUAAAUUAUUGUCAAUAUUUUUAAGGUAUAAUGUCAAAUUGUUUACAUCUUUUUUCAGUUUGGUUCUUAUUCUUUUUUGAGUUAUAAAUUUGGCCCUCAAUUUUUUUUAAAAAAUUGUCAAAUCACUUUUUAAUGAAAAUAUUCAUUAAAACCUUAUUUUUUAACGAUGUUGGUAUGUCAACCCGUGUGGUAAUCCACGUGUACUUCAUGCUAACAUGACACUUUAUCUUAUAUAUCACACCAAGAAAUAAUUUAAAUUAUAAAAAAUUCCAAAAAAAAACGAGAGCAUGAAGUACAUGUGGAUUGCUAUGCGAGCUGUCAUGUCUAAAAACCUAAUGUUUAGCUAAUAUUUCCGUUAAAAAAAUAACAAUUUAAUUUUUUUUGAAAGGUUGAUGGUCAAAUAUGAUUUUUUUUUAAAGGUCGUGAGCCAAAUUGAUAAAAAAAAAUGUAAACAUUAAGGGAUAAAUUUGACAUUAUGCCAAUUCUUAAUUAGUUUUAAACUUCAAAAUAUGUUAUUGACAUGGUAUCAAAUAGGUUUUCCAUUAGCAUAGUAGUUAAUUUAAGUGUUAAAUGUCAAUUAGGAUAUAAUGUGGAGCCUACUUAAAACAUGAAUUAAAUUGUAAAUUUGAGUAUUGUCACUUCCCAAAAAUAAGGCUAGAAGAAAUAGGGAUAAAAUUUAGAUUUUAUUUUUUUAAGCAUAGGGUAAAAGAAUUUAGAAUGCCUUAAAAAUUAUUUUUGAUAAGAAAUUAACAAGAAUUAGUCUACUAGUUCAUUGGUAAGGCCUUAGCUUUCUCUUGGGUCUCAAGUUUGAAAUCUCUUGUUCACCUUUCAAGCAAAAUAUUUUAUUUUCUUAUUUUUACCCCAUAAAAGUGCCGAAUUUUCAAACUAGCCCAAACCAAAAAUUGUUAUUUUCUAAUUUAGUCCUUAAUUUAAAAUAGUCUUGCUUCUCCAUGGAAUCCUAAAACCUAUUUCAAUUAGGGAAAAAGAGUUUUAUAAUUAGGAAAUCUUUUCAAAACUCUAGAAAUUUUAUCUAGUGAAUUUUUCAAGGAAAACUCUCAAGUUCUUCAUUUUCUCCAUCAUUACCAAACCAAUUUUCAAGCAAAGAAAUCCAAGGUUUCCAAAAUCGUCCCUCUCCUCCCAAGUAGACCAUCAUUCUCCUCAUCCAAAUUAAGGUUUUUGUGUCUUCGAAUCAGGUGUGGGAUCUAAACAUAAAUCAUUAUAUAUGAUUAACUGUAGUGUUAGGAAGUAAUAAGACUGCUAUGCAACCCCUCAUGUUAUGCGAACCCCCUUGCAUGUGCGAGCCCUGUGUGUGAUCCCCGUGUGCAAAACCCCCUAUGUGUGAGCUUGUGAGCGAACCUCUAUACGCGAACCCCUAUAGAUGAACUAUAGCUUGUAUAUACAUAUGCAAACCCUCAUGAUUUUUAGUAUAGGAUUUAAGUUGCAAACCCUAUAUAUAUUACGCGAGGCAUAUAUAUCAUGCGCACCCUAAACAUACUUUGCGAGCUUUAUAUAACAUGCAAACCCUAGGUAAUAUGUGAAUCGAGUAUAUCAUGCAAACCCUAGGUCCUAUACGAGCUAUAUAUAUCAUGUGAACCAAAGCUUGCAUAUCAUGAAAAUCCUAGGUACUAUGCGAACCCCCUGUGUUACAAACCCCCUGUAUGUCCGAACUCUGUUAGGCGAACUGAAGCAUAUGUGCGAACCCUACAUGUACGAACCCCUAGGUGCAAACCCUACAUGCGCUAACCCAUAUGUGCAAUCCUAUAUGUGCGAACCCUGUAUGUGCAAACCCUGCUUAUGUAUGUGUUAGCCGAACUAAGAAUGUUAAUAUGCAUGAAGAUAUUGUAUAUGUGAAAUUGUUUUAGAUCGCUUAAAUUAAUUGUAUAUGUGAAAUUGAUGGGAAUGGAUGAAUGAUCACAUGCCAUUAAAUGAUAGUAUGAAAUAUCAAAUGAAGCAUUGAAAGAUGAUAAAUAGCAUAAUAUGCUAAUUGUAUGUGCAUAAUUACAUGAAUUUAGGUAAGAAGGUCGAAGGAGUUCCAUAGGAGAUAGUGGCAAUUCAAGUCCACACCAAAAGUCAGUAUUGCACAGAGUAGGUGGCUAUGUCAUCAAAACUGGAUAAAUCAGGAUGAUAGUUUAAAAAGCCAUAAAAAAUCGGGUAACUGAGAUGGUAAGUUAUUGUUGUAAAAGUCAUCGUCACAUAUGACAAGUGAACGACCAUCGUCAUCGGAAAUCAAAUCCGAGAUGGUUAGUUUUUUUUAUGUGUUUUGGUGUGUCGAGCGAUGCUUGAUGGCGAUUAAGAUGGACAGGUUGGAAAUUAAAUUUAUAAUUGCAUUUGCAUCAUGAAUAAACUAUAUAUGCAUUGAAUCACUACAUGUUCCUUACAUCAGCUUAACUUGUAUUAUGCUUGAUUUGUUAUUAUGCUAUAAAUUAAAUUCUAUAUUAUUUGAAUGAUUAUAUAUAACGGUUUAAAAAUUAGACUCACACUGAGCUAUCAUAAGCUCACCCCCCAUUUCUUUACCUCUUAGGUAAUGCAGGAAACUAGGUCUCGGAAUGGCAUAAGAAGAACCUCGAAUUAGCAACUUGUUUUGGUUUUAUUUAAAAGUUUCAUUAAAAGUUUUCCUUAAUAAUUUAUUUUUGGGUUUGUAAUUAUUAAGUAUUUUCUCGUUUUUAUAUCAUAGGUUUGGGAUUUGUUUAGCUUAUUUAUUUUAAGCAUGUCAUUUGAUUAUUACUCUAAUAUUUGCAUGCUAUUCAGUAUAGGAAACUAUUAUUCUAAAUGUUUUCUGCUGCUUUACAAAAUACUUAAAGUUUUGAUAGGUCUUUUCUUAAAAACUUAAAAGUCGUUUUCUUAAAACUUCAUAUCAAUUAUACUGUAGAUGAACUAAUAAGUCAAAUUGGUUUAAUGAAUGAAUGUUUUUCUAAAAACAAAAGAGUAUUUCCAUACAAAUCAAACGCAUCUAAAAAGAACGGUUUUACAGGAUCACUUCGGUGAUCGAAUGUAAUGCCUUUGACUUAGCCGAAACUCCUAGGCCAGGUCGAGGAUGUUACAUAUAUAUAUAACUACGACAUGAAAAACCUGGAUUUGACGUAUUAAAAACUAGUAUCAAUUAAAUUUUAUCUAUGCAAUAGAUAUAUAUGUUUUUUAUAAUUUGAUCUACGAAUUUUAAAUAUAUUUCAUCUCAAAUUUGAGUUGGCAUUUAAUGCCUAAACUAAUUGUUGAAUUAAUAAAAGGACUUAAUUGAUAUGAUAUGAUAAUUUGAGAACUAAAUUAAAACAUUUUAAAAAUUAAAGAUGAAUUUAAAAUCCCAUAAUUUGAGAACAUUGCGUCUAAUGUGUUUAUGGUGAAUUGUAAACAAAUCCUUGGUCAAACCUGACAUGCUCUAUAAAAAUCCAUGAAAAAUCAGUUGUAAAAAGGUAGAAAAGAAAGGCAAAUACUUUCAGAUGCUUAACCGACUUCAUUCAAUUUUUAUUUUCAUAUAAAAAAUACUUAAUAUAUUUAAUAUAUAUUUGAUGGUUGAAUUUUUUACAUAAAAUAAAUUAAAUUUAUAUAAAAUUUGUUAUGCAUAAUUUAAAGGAAUAAACCAUAAAACAUAAUGGUUUUAUCGUUAAAAUAUUAAUUAUAUAAAUAAUUAUAAAAGUGUAUAAAAUUACUUUAAUUUUUAUUAAUUUUUAAUUUCUUCGUUAUUAUUUUUAUUAAUUUUUUUUAAAAAAAUUAUAAAAUAUUUGAUGUUUAGAAUUUUAAGAAUGAUACAUAUAAACAAUUUCUUUUCUUAGUUUUUAAAUUCAUCCAUUUAAAAACAAUUCUGAUAUCCUAAAGAGAGUGGGUCAAAUAAGUAACAAAUUUAUUUAUUUUAAAAUGCUAACAAGUAAACAAAUACAUUUGAUCACUAAGGAUUAAAAGAAACAUGACAAACAUUUUUUAAAGUAAAAUUUUAAAACUUUAUAUCAAAAUAAGUCAGUAUUUUGAAUACUAUAGAGUCGUAUUGUUCUUUCUUUCCAAUCAUAUUUCCUAGGAAAUUAAUAUAAGAUUACUGGUCAAAAGUUUUGUGAAGAGUAUGUCAAAAGCAGAGAAAAGAAUAAAUAUCAUUCAUGCCCUCAAACAUUUUGAUCGAACUGCAAAAGUUUAAAGUAAAUAGAGGAUAUUUAAACCUUUUUUACAGACAUCAACUUUGAAUCAAAAGAAUCAAACAAAAGACAAAUCAACAUUUCUUUUAAUCUAUUUGUAUUUCUCAUGCACUUUGUUUUCUUGAAUUUAAGUUCUCCUUUUUUGACUUCAAAUAUCACCACUAUUUUUCUUACCUAUAAAUACAUGCAACAAUUGCACUCUUAUCCUCACACAAAUUCUGUGCCAAAUUUCAAGAGCAAACCAAGAAAAGGCUGCAAAUUCAGCUUUUCAAUAUCUGCUUUUGAUCAAUCGAAAUGGCUUCACAAGUUUCUCAAAUGCCUUCUUCAUCACCCCUUUCUUCCAAUAAGGAUGAAAUCCGUCCCAAAGCCGAUUUUCAGCCUAGCAUUUGGGGAGAUUUCUUCCUCAAUUGUCCCGACAAGGUAUACAUACAUAUCACCAUAUUGAUAUAAUCUUAACAUAUUAUUUGUUCAAUUAUUUAGUGAUUCAAUAUGAAGAAAAUUUUCAUUGUUUUGAGCAGAAUAUUGAUGCUGGAACUGAAAAACGCCACCAACAAUUGAAAGAAGAAGUGAGGAAGAUGAUUGUGGCACCAAUGGCUAAUUCGACCCAAAAGUUAGCCUUCAUUGAUUCAGUCCAAAGACUGGGUGUGAGUUACCAUUUCACCAAGGAGAUCGAAGAUGAACUAGAGAAUAUCUACCAUAACAACAAUGAUGCCGAGAACGACCUCUACACUACAUCUCUUCGAUUCCGACUACUCCGAGAGCAUGGAUACAAUGUUUCAUGCGGUAAUUAUUGGAACAGAAACAUAGUGUUUUUAAGUUUCUUGAGAAUAUAAUAGCAUGGAAUGUUUGAUAACGAUAUUUCAUUUUGGGUAAUUUCAUGUCAGACGUAUUCAACAAGUUUAAAGACGAGCA